UCGAAGAUGUCAUCUACCACAUCGAAACAUAUGACGUCACCACAAUCAGGGCAAGCACUCCUAUGUUCUUGAUGUCAAGAAAGAUCAAGUCACUAGGUGUGAAGAUGGUUAUCUCUGGUGAAGGCUCUGAUGAGAUCUUUGGUGGAUACCUGUACUUCCACAAGGCACCAGAUAAGGAUGAAUUCCACCGGGAGACAUGCCGCAAGGUAAUAGAUCAUCUUAUUCAACACUUCACUUAUGAGUAGGGGAGUUGGAACAUAAGGAUAUAAUGAAAACUGGUCUGUUUUGAUACCUUUUUGUGCAGAUCAAGGCCCUUCACCAAUAUGAUUGCCUGAGAGCUAACAAAGCAACAUCAGCAUGGGGAUUAGAGGCACGAGUCCCCUUCUUAGACAAAGAAUUUAUCAAUGUUGCCAUGUCUAUAGACCCUGAAGCGAAGAUGGUAUGUAAACAAGCAUCUUUUUUCUUAUUGUUCCUGGAAUUGCUUGGUUUAUUCAUUCAUGGUUGAGAUUUACAGACUCACGACAAAUAGUUCUUUGUUUAUGAAUCAGAUAAAAAAAGAUGAAGGACGCAUCGAGAAGUGGGUUCUAAGAAGGGCCUUCGAUGACGAAGAACAUCCCUAUCUGCCAAAGGUCCUCUAACAUCAUUUCUUGUCUUUCAUAUUUGUCAACUAUGAAGCUAAACUAACAUGUCCUAUAUGAUGCCCUGCAGCAUAUCCUCUACAGACAAAAAGAACAGUUCAGUGAUGGUGUCGGUUAUAGUUGGAUCGAUGGUCUCAAGGCCCAUGCUGCCCGACAUGUAAAAUAUCUUUCUUAAGUGGGUUCUGUUACAUGCUUUUGCUUAGUUUAUUGUUCAUAAUUUAACAAUUAAAAUCUUUCAGGUGACCGAUAAGAUGAUGUUCAAUGCUUCUUUCAUAUUUCCUCACAACACACCAACUACAAAAGAAGCAUAUUACUACAGGAUGAUUUUUGAGAGGUUUUUCCCUCAGGUGAUUUUCUGAAUCUCACAGUUCGAAUACGUUUAUGCUUCUAACUUUUUGUCAACAGCAUUAAUUGCUAAAGUGAUCAUCUUCCUUUGCUUGGUUUAACAGAACUCGGCUAGAUUGACUGUCCCUGGAGGAGCUAGUGUGGCAUGCAGCACAGCUAAAGCUGUUGAGUGGGACGCUGCCUGGAAAAACAACCUUGACCCUUCGGGCCGGGCUGCCUUGGGGGUUCAUCUCUCUGCUUAUGACGCAGAGACUCCCCUCAGCAACAAGCCAUCCAAGGUUAUUGAUAGUAUACCACGGAUGGACUUUCCUGGAGUUGCCAUACAGAGUUAAUGCCUGCCUACUGGAAGACAACAGAAUGUAUGAAUUAUUUAAUAAAAUGAGUAGGAGCUGUGGCAUGUCCAAAUGUAUGAAGUAUUUAAUAAAAUGAGUAGGAGCUGUGGCAUGUCCAUCAAACUUCCGAAUACAUUGUUGUAUAAUAUAGGUGAUAUUUACGAGUACCAAGAGAUUCUGUGAUCAUCGUAUCAUCUUUUGUUAUCAUCAAUCUAUUGGUUCUUUGUGUUAUUUAAGUGUGUAAUCAAUAGUUUGUAGUGGAAGUUAAUCAUGAAUGAGAAUCUUCCCUUUUGUUGGUGUAAUUGCAAAAAUGCUUCAGUUCUUCCACUUUACAAAAAUCUUGCCCUCUAACGAAUGUAAUGUUAGAUAACUUGGAACUAAGCAAUAAUUUGAGAAGAAACAUGUUGUCCCUACUAGAUGAAUCCAGCAUUGAAUCAGUCUAAAUCUUGAAGAUAAUAUCAUAUUUGACUUGAAAGAACUAUAUGAUUAUAUCGUUUAUUAAGACACAAUAUUAGUACAGUAAAGUGCAGUUUUGCACCCUCUGCAAACCUAUCAAAAUUAGUAACUAAUUAUAGAAUGAAGUAAAAGCACAUACAACUUAAUAGAACAAGACGGUAUAAAAGAGUUGAUUCCAAGUAUCAGGCAAUCCAGGGAGGCACCAAUGGCUACAAUCAGCUGUGCGGUCCGGGUUAGCCCUCUGAGUAGGGCUUAAGUCACCACUGUAGAUUGAAGGGUGCCCAUCUUUCCUAAGCUCAGACAGCAUUGUUAUGUCCAACAAAUAUGUAGGGACGUGCAUUUCUCUAAUGACUUCGUCCACCACUCUCAUCUGGUCAGGGUAUGUGCCAGGAUACGUAGUUCCGGUCAUCGGUGCUGUUUCUCCGUAACAGUUUUUCGUUACGGUCGCAGUUGCUCCGGUACCCCAUUCACUCGGACUGUCAAAGGCAUUUCAUCAAGCUCAUUGUCAUAGAACUUUUAUAUCCAUGUUCGGAUAUGUAACAAAUUUAAAAUACUAAAAAAAAUCGAAAUCUAUGGACACUCAUGCAUCAUGUGCUCGGAGGCAGUGGUCAAACAAAAAAUUGUAGUCAGGCAAUUUAUGGUCCUUUUGCAGACCUUUUUUAGUUACUUUACAGUGAAAUUGGUAAGGAUAAAGAAAAGGUCAUUUCCCACCGACAACUAAAGGGGUUAAAAAAAGAUACUUUGGCUGCUCACUAUUUCACGAGGUUACACGGUUGUAAAGAAAAAAACAGUAAAAAUCAACCAAGCACUAUUAAUUAAUAAAAAGUAAUUUGACUAUCUCAUGAAACAUGGGAAGAUGAAGGUAGAACAUAACGAGGGUAAACCUAAAACAUCAACCAUCUAUCAUGCGGGCAAAAUAAAUAAAUAAAAUUCUCCCAUUGAUGCCUGGUCGAGUGAAGAACAUAUCAUCAACUCAUUCUCGUGGUUUUUCUCGGUUUGGUUUUUAACAUUAGCAAACAUGAAAGAAAUCCGUCAAGACUCUUAACAGAGUCUUUCUUGCAAGAGAUAAUACCAGAAGCAUUGAGAAUUCAACAAAGAUACAGAGAAAGUGAUAAGAAAGUUUUUCAGACAGGAUCUAGUUUAGUAACUCCAAGUUGUAUGGUCACAUUUAUUAUAUAAUUAUAGCAACUUCAACAAGUUGCCAUUGGCUUACCCUACCCUCCCCUCCCCUAUUUUAUUUAUUUGUUUCUCUUCAGUCUCUGUCUUCAAUAUUCAAUAUUGAGUUGGGAUAAUCUUAGCAGACAAAAACUAAAUUCAUCUAAGCUCGCAUUGGAUCGAAUUUCUAGUUCUUGAGGGUCCAAUUAUUAGUUUUUCACUCCAACACAACAACAAUUAUCAAUCAAAGAAUUGAGUCCACUCCAUAUUCUAAUUAAUUUCCAUGCAAUUAUUUAAGAGAGAAGGAGAGUGUUACUCGUAAUGCGUGGGGGAAAUAGACUGGAAAAAGACUCUGGUUCUAGUUCUGUCGACAUAGGUGUCCACCCAAUUUGACCAUGUUCUCAACCCUUUCUCCAUUGCAACCAAACGAUCCAUGUCCUUGUAAUAUUUUCCCCCUGACUCAAUUAAAUCCCACCUGUCCAGUUUCACCUCAAGCUAUUCAAUUAACCAAAGCACAUAGCCCAGUAACAGAGAAAAAUGGUUGUAGUUUUUUGUCUUUUUGGCCUACCCUUGGAGAGAUCCUUUAUGAGUCCACCAAUGGCCUGUGUUAAAUACCAGCACGUCUGCCAUUCUCCAGGCGUUUCCAUUUUCAUCUAUUCCCUCUAACUUGAGAAUUCUAGUCCCUUGUACCACGUCUAUGUCCACCAAAUAUGGAGCCCUGUAAAAUGAUAUGGAUAAACCAUAUUCCUGCAUUUUAUCAUUAAACAAUGAUUCAAUUAUUAAAGGUAUACUUAAAAUUCGAAAGAUUGUCAUUUGCCAACACAAAUCGAACCAAUUGGACCUGGUUAACUUUUUUGGCAACAUAAUGCUCACUUUGGGUCCUUCAGGCUCAAAAAAGGAUUUCAUCUCUUCACCAUACCCUUAAACCUUCAUUUUUUGGGGGUUAGAAUAUGGAACAGAGUGUUUGAAAUGGCUUUUUGACCAUGAAUUGUGAGAACAAAUGAUUGUAUUUUAAAGAGUAAAGGAAUAAAGAACAAAAGCGGUUUUUUCAUAAGACUCACAAGGAACCUGAAGGUGGAGAGAGGGUCUCCUCUGAUAAUCUGAGUCUGCAUUUUGGGUGUUGAAGCUGAAAUCAUACAAAUCAAAGACUCCCAUUGAUUCCUUCCCAGAGAAUCACCAACAAACAUCACGUUUUUCCCUCUCAUUUUCGAUAGAAACACAAGUCCAUCGAACCUGACAAACAUCAUCCCUCAAUGUAAAAGUAAAACAAAUUACAAUGCACUUUAUAUAAAAAAAAAAGUACUCCAAAAUUACCUUGGAAGCACACAAUUGAGAGGCUGCCAUCGAUAUUUGAGGUAAUCAGAAUCAGGUCUUCCAUACAGUUGGCAGUUGAAUUCUGCAUCUAUGAUUGGACAGUUGGAAUAUUGGUACAAUGGGUAACUAUCAUCACGAACCCAAGUGCCUACAAACAAUGCACAAGUGCUUUGGUUCGUUUGGAACAUUGGCCUUCGAUGUUGAGGGUGGCCAGGAUGGUUCUUCAAGCUCAUUAUCAAAGCAGAGAAACCAGUUUGAAACUGAAACAACAAGGCUACAAAAAGAAAGGGUAGACAUGACUUAAAGACAUGACAUGAAGGAAAUAGAUCGGAAGAAAGAAGGGUCAUUUUGCAGAGAAAUGAUAAUGAAGUUAAAAAGCUAGACGAAGAAAAGAGAGGGGGCAAAUUAAAAGAACAAUAGCAUAUAAAAAGAAAGUGGGGUUUAUCAGUUCCUGGUGAAGGUUCUUAUAAGAGAUGAUGAGGGGGAAGCUUGGUUUUGGUGUGUUGUGAAGGUAAGCCGAAAAGGGUUUCACUUCACGUGAGCUUAAAUGGUAGUGGUGGACGUAAAUUUAGACCCUUUUGAACCAAGUCUUAUUGUGGGAACAGGGACUCUUACUUGUCUGCAUGUGUAUCUCCUUCAAUUUUCAUUAGCAAAUUCACAGAAAAGGAAAUGGUGCUACUGCAACUGCAUGAAGGAAAGUCAGAAAAGGGGAAUAAUGUCGGGGAAUGGGGCCAAAACUGGCAAUGACCAAAUCAUGCAUCUAAAUUCAACGAGAAACCAAACAAAUACUCUCAAAUAUGGGCUUUGGUAGGCACCACAAUCUUGGAUUCUGUUGAUUGUUUAUAGAAUAGAAAGAGAAAGAAUACUUGCUACCAAAACCAUGAACAAAAGCAAAGUUUUUUUAUUUUUAUUUUAUUUUUCUACUUUAUAUCAAAGAAGGGGCAAAUCCUUUGAAAAAGCUAAAUGUUCUUUGCUUUCCUUCAUCCCCAUGCAUAGAACAUCAUUCAUUAAUUCAAACCCUUUUUUUUCUUUUGUCAUAAUAUAAAAUAAAGAUAUAAUAAUCUAUUUUCCACCCAACUUUAAAAAAAAAUCAUUUUAAUUCUUUAUUUAAUUUUCUCCCUUUUAAUUUACACAAUUUGUCAAAUAACCUUAAAAUGAAUGAAAAAAUUAAUGUUUAUUAACUAUAUUGAUAGGGCAUACAGAUAGAAUAAGACAUGAAUUUCAUGGCGACAAUUAAUUAAAUUUUUUGAAAAUUUAAAAAUUUUAAAAAUAUAUAAAAUUAGUUUAAAAAAUUAAAAAAGUAUAAAAUUAUAAAAAUAUUGAACCACCAUCGCCUUCUCAAUUUCAACCUUUUCUUCCAUCUUAAUUCCUAUAUAAAUAAUAUAGGAAUAUGUAAAAAUAUGCCAUGACUUGGAUCUUAACUGAAGAUUAAUUUGGUUUAUUUUUAAUUAAAUAUUUAAAAUUUAAAGGUUAUAAUAUGCUCUAAGUUUCUUUGCUAUUUGUAUAUUUAGAAUUUAGUAUUCAUGUUUUUAUCUUUAAGAAUUUAGCCUCUCUAUUUUUUGAAUUUAAAAAUCUAGAUCCAAUUAUUAGCAUCGUUAAAAUUCUUCUAUUAAAUUUGUUGGUAUGACAUUCUAAAAUUAAAAAAAAAAAAGCACUCACUCGAUAAUUAUGUCAUAGAAAAUGACAUUGUAAUAUACUUGAAUUUAACAAAAAUUUUAACAAUGUUAACAAUUCUUUAAAUUUACAUAUGCACUUUAAUUAGAAUAAAAUAUUAGGUAAAUUACACCAACAGUCGCUCAAUUUUGAGGUAGCUGACAAAACAGUCAGCUUGGUUUCAUUUUAGAGGUGAUCAUGGGCCGGGCCAAGCCAGGUUCGGGACGGGCCCAGACAAAAUUUUAGGCCUGAGCCUGGCCCGACCCGAAAUAUGGGCCUAAAAAUUUAUCCAAGCCCGACCCAAAAGAAAAUUGCUAAGCCCAAGCCCAACCCGGCCCAUAUUAAAUAUAUAUAAAAUAUAUAUUUGAUUAAAAAUAAAAUAUAUAUAAUAUAUAAUUUGGGCCGGGCCGGGCCAGGCCUGGGCCAAAAAAGUUUUGCCCAAGGCCCGGCCCAUUUUCUAAACGGGUCUCUUUUUUUUCCCAAACUCAUAUUUCAGGCAUAUAUUUUUACUCGAACCCUCCCAUUUUUCGGGUGGGCCGUCGGACCGGGCCAGGUAGCCCAACCCAUGAUCACCUCUAUUUCAUUUCAGUCACUCAACUUUAGAAAAUGACAAAACAAUCAUAACGUUAUUAAAAAGUGACAAAUCAAUCACUUAUUAACAUUUUCUCUUAUUGGCUUAACGAGACCGCUGAUGUGGCAAGUUAACUAGCUGACGUGGCCAGUUAACUUACCACAUUGGACAAGUAGUCAAAGGGUAAAAAAAAUUAUUGGUUAAAGGUAAAAAGAAGAAGAAGAGGAGAAUAAAGGAAAAUGGAAGCUGUUCAAUCUCUUGCUCAAUCUCUGAAAGCCAAAUGGAGGGCUAGAGUGGUGGAAACAGAAAGGGAAAAAACCCUAUCUUUCCCGUUUUGCAAAUCAAUGGCAAAAAACCCUAAAAUAACCCCCUAAUCAAGCUACCUCCUCCAAAAAGAAAAGGUUCCAACAUUUAAAAAAAAAAGAACACAGAACUAGAUCCUGCAAACAAGAAAGGAAAAAGGGGAGCACAUAGAUUAUAACCAAAAACCCAGGCCAAACAAAAGCUCAGAAAUCCAAACUCUUAACAGUGCACAAACACAAAAACCUAUCACAUUCAAGAUUAAAAUAAAGCUUUUCUUUUUUGGUGUUAUGGUUUUCCGUAUUUAAUUUGAAACUUAAAACAAAGAGAAAAAAAUUAUCUUUCUUUUAUCGAAAUUUUUACAAAAAUAGGUGAGUAGAAGAGACUUCCAUGACUUAGUGUUUCAUUAGGUUUUAAACCCCUCAUACCGAGAAGACUAUGACUUCUCUAACUAGUUAAAUCCUUUAUUAACAUUUUUUUGGAAUUUUUUUCCCACAAAGGGAAAGAGAGGGUUUUGCUUCGUUUGAAUUUGUUGUGAAUGAAGGUUUUAGUUAUGGUGUGAGAAAAUAUGGGAGAGAACUGGGAAAGUAAAGGGAUUUGGAAAAAAAUUGAUGAAGAUAAGCAAAUGAGAGAGGAGGUGGAGAGUGUUUACAAAAUUUUAAGGUUGGAAAUAAAUUUAAAGAGAUCAAGAGAAAAAAUAAAAGGUUUACAUUGGUGCUGAUAGGGUUGUUUAUCCUCUUCUUCUUCACAUUGGUGCUGAUGGGUUGUUUAUCCUCUUCUUCUUCUUCUUCUCUUCUUAUUCUACUACAUAAACCGGCCAGCUGGAUGGUUAAUGACACCAAGCAAGUCGUCAUCUGCCAUGUCACUUUGUCGUCACGUCUAUAACAAAAAACGACAAAAAAGACUGUUUUGUCAUUUUUCUAAAGUUGAGUGACUGAAAUGAAACCAAUGUGACUAUUUUAUCAGCUACCCCAAAGUUGAAUGACUCUUGGUGUAAUUUAUCCUAAAAUAUUUAGACUAACUAAUAACAUUAUAAACAACGAGGUAUUAAAUUAUGUCAAAAAAAUAAAGUAGAAAGAUCAAAUCUCAAAUUUGGGCAUAAUAUAUAAGUUGAAAUUAAAAUUGAACCACUUUUAUGUAAUUAAGAAAAUAGAGAGACUAAAAUUAAGAUUUAACCAUUAAAAUUAAAAAUGUAAAAAUAAAAGAGUAACAAGGACAAGUGUCAAAGAAAGAAGGCGUUAGCGCCUUCCUUUUAGUAUAUAUUAGUUAAUUGAUUAUAAUUUAUUUAUUUAUAUUAUACCAUGAAAUUACAAUCAAAUUCAGAAAAAAAAAUUGACAAUAUUAACUUAGAGACUUUUGAAGUGGAGUAGGGUGUGAUAGGACGGGAUGAAAGUUGUAGUUGUUUUUAAGAAUAUACACCCAUAAUGGAACAGGAUGGGUGAUAAAGUAAAACAUAUCAUUUAUGGAGAGGUAGGGAAUUGAGCAAUAUUCGUCCUGACCCCGCUUUAUUGUCAUCCCUAACUAUAAUAAGAUUAAAAGGAUUUAACAAAUAUUAUUUAACUAGUCUUGAUUGUGAAAUCUUUUGUAUCGUCGAUUUUCAUUUUGACCAAUCAAAUCAGUUGAUUCUUUAGGGGUAAAAUUAAUUGGUAUGAUUUAAUUAAACAAAAUUAUAAAUUCAUAAAAUAAAAAAAAUCCAAUUCAAAUAGUUCAUAGGUCAACGAUUCAACUUUUUUUUUUUCAGAUUAGUAUAUCUGUCGAUGUCCAAUUUAACUAAUUUCAUCAAUCAAUCAAUUCCGGUUCCAAUAAUAGAAGGAUUGGCAAAUAAUUAAAAAAUUAAAGGUAUAUAAAAAUAUAAAAGAAAAAAAAAGUAUUUUAUCCGUCAUCUUUUUAAAUUUUAUAUACCCAGAUUAAGAAAAUAAUAUAUAUGACGAUGGUGAUAUUUAGGAGCAAAUCUAAAUUUAUUUUUAACAAGGACGAAAUUUAAUUAUACUUUUUUCAUAAAAUAAAAUAUAAGCUUUUUAUAUAUUAAUUUAUAAUUUUAUUAUUUUCGAAGGAAUUAAAUAUAUUUAUUUUUCCAAUUUUAAGAGAUUAAAGUAUAAUAUUAUUAUAUAUUAAUCUAUAAUUUUUUUAUUUAUAAGAGAAUUAAAUUAAGAAAUUUUCAUCACUGCAUAUUAAUUUAUAAAAUUUUUUUAUUUAUAAAAAGGCUAAAUUGAUUUUUUGGGGGAGUUAUGGUGCUGACUUCUCAGAUUAGUCUCUGUUGAUAUUAAAAAAAAUCUCAUUAUGUGUGAUUUUAUCUAUAGUUACUUUGGAUUUAUAUUUUGUAAUAAUGUUUAUAAUUACAAGGGUGAAUUAUGAAAUUAGCCACCCAACUUUCAGCACGUUUUCAUUUUAGUAACCUAAAUUAAAAUCUUUACAAGUUAACCACUGCCAUUAAAGAUGCUUUCAUUUUAGUGGUUAAAUCCUCUAACAUCAGUGCACGCCAUCUCAUCAUUUUUAAUUAUUUUUUUGAUCCGUCGUCCACUGUUCAUCUUCUUCUUCCUUAACCUUUUUUUUCCUCCACGCCAAUCUUUGAUUUAAUGACAAAUUUAGCCACUAAUGUUUGCAUGUUUUGUCAAAUAAUAAUCUUAUUUGUAUUUUUGAGCUUUUUUUGGCAAUCAACUUUUAUUCUUUUCUUCAAAUUGUCUUUUGUAUCAGAUUUAAUGAAAGUGCUGUUAAAAAAGUUAACGGGGAUGAUGUAGAAUUUCAUAUAUGGAAUAUUUUUAAGAAGAUACAAAUUAUUACUUAAAUAACCCUAUAAGAUAAUUAAAUAUGGAAAAUAAUACAAUAAAUAAUACAUGAAAUUAAAAAAAACUCUUAAUUUAAAGAAAAUAAAUGUAAUUAUCUAAAAAAAUUAACUCACCAAAAAAACCUCUCAGUAAACAAAACUUAUGAAAGAUAUAAAUUUUUUGAAAAAAAAUAUUGAAACCUUAAAUUUAUUCAUUAAUUUUGUUAGAAAAACAAUUUUUAAAAAAAAUAAUCAAAGAUUGAUGACAAAAAAAUGCUCAAAAAUAUAAUUAAAAUCAUUUUGACAAAACAUGCAAACAAUAGUAGUCAAAUUUAUCCAUAAGCCUAAAAAAACAAAUUCGUUAACUCACUGCUACCUAAAAAAGCAAACCCAAACUUCCUUGGCCUAAAAAUUUUUCACAUUCCCUGCCUUCCACCUGUUUGACAUUGUCAAAGUGAGUCUUCUAAAAGAACUACUCCAAUUUUGUUUGAAGCACCACCUAUCACUUGUGUCUUAUACCUUGACACCAUUUGUAAACCAAAAGCGGGUGGCUCAGAAUCUAAGAGCUUAAUCCAAAUAGGAAAUAGAUGGCACUUGUCUCCCUCAUAAGGUAAGCAUUAGUAAUCUUUUCGAGGGCUCAAUUUCAUACACUGGAAUCAAAUAGUUAUACAAAUCCAUAAGCUCUUUCCCAAAACCAUUUAAGUUCAAAAUAUAAAGAAGUCCAAAAGCAAAAUAAAAGUUUAUAUGGUCACCAACUUCUUUCAAGACACGUUAGGUAAGCAGAUGGCGCUUGAUCCUUGACACUCCUCCAACCUCUCCGAUGCGAGAAUAGGUAGCUUCCUAUCAUCUUGUAAGACAAAAAAGGAAAUGGAACAGGAGAAAUUGAUUCCAACCAACGCUCAGUUGUGGUAUAAAUGGCAACCGCUUCUUCUGGAGUAACAUAUAGCCCAUCUUUCAAAUAGUUGUGUUGUCUUUCCUACUCAGCUUUUAGCUAGAGGCGUGUCAACCUGCCUAAGUUACUAACCUGAGCAAACACAAUGAGUUCUGAGCAAGGCGUCGGAAGAAAAAGAACAGUUGUGAGGGUAAAAAAACAAUAGUCAAAAUGAUGGCAUACCACGCACAAUUUGCUGCGGCUAUGAAAUUUAAUAUUUGAGUGGUUACAAUGAAAACAAUCUUUAAUGACGCAAAUUUGUUUUUUAAAGUCCUAAAAGUUGGAUAACCAAUUAAGUAUAAUAUUGGUUGGAUAACCAAAUUAAAAUAGUAUUAAUCGAAUUAGUCAAAUUUUUUAAUUCUUUAACAGUUAACCGAAUCGAAAUAUUUCAAAAAAUUUAACCAAACCAAAAUAUUUUGAUUAAUUCGGUCGGUUAACAGAAUUAAUCGAAAUUUAUAUUUUUUUAUUAAAACAAGUAUAAAACAUAUAAAAAUAAAUAAAUUGAUAAUGUCCAUUUGACCGAAUUAACCAAAUUAAAACUACAUAUAAUUUGUAUUAUUAAUUAUUAAGUUCAUUUAAUUGGGUUAAUUACUAAAUUUCGAACCGAAUUAAUCGAUAAUUGAACUUCCAAAAAAACCAUUAACCUACCUCUAACUGAAUUAAAUCGAUUCAAUCAAUUAAUUCCGUUUUAUCAAAAUUUGAACACCCCUACUAGAUAGAGUUUGGAAUCAAUUAAUCACAAUUGAGACCGAUAAUAACCAAAACAAACAAAUAAAAUAUUUAAACUUUUACAAAUAUUUUAAAAUCUUACUUUUAUCUUUGUACCCCCUCCCCCCGCGUUAUUUAUUUUUUCACUCAAUUUUAAAAAGUAUCAUUUUAAACAUUAAUAUUUAAAUUUGCUUCCGUUUUGGUCACCUAUAAUUAAAUUAUAAUAAAAAUUCUUUUUUAAUUGAUAUAAUAACACAUUUAAUCCCUAAUAUUUAUUUAUUCUAUCAAUUUGAUCCUAAUUUUAAAUAAUUAAAUAAAUUUAACCCCUCACAUUUACAAAUUCUAUCAAUGUGAUCCUUCAACUUCCUAACCAAAACUUUCAGCUUUUAAAACAAAGUCAUUCCGCAUCCAUUAAUUAUUUUAUUUAUGAAUGAAAUGAUCUAAUUUGAUACAUAAUCCUUUUUGUUUAUAUUUUUAAGAAGUUCUUGUUAGAAAUUAACUAAACACCAUUAAAAAUAAUAUAAUAUAUAAUAAAAUUAUAUAAAUAAUUUAAUAUUUUUUAAAAAUAAAUUUUCACUUUGACUAGCAUAAUUUCAGUUUUUAAUUAAUUUGGUAAAUGGUUUUAUACUAAACCAGAUUAUUAAUGAUACAUAAAGCUUAUUAUGAAUUUAAAUUUUUUAAAAAUAAUUAAAAAUAAAUAGAAUACAUAAUAAUCUCUUAAUGAGUUCAUAAAAAUUAAAAAAAAAAUCAUUAUCAAUGUUACAAAAAGAAAUUCAAUCAAUUCUUUCACAUUUGUUUUCUUACGAAAAAUUAAAUGUUAUAUAAUUAUUGAUUGAACAAUUGAAUUUUUAAAAACCAUAUUUUUUAACUUUGGAUUUAAUUUCCAACUUCAAGGAUUAUUUCUACAUACCUUGAAGGAAAUAUCAUACUACUAAAGCAAUUUUUUAAGGUUUUUUCAUUUUCUUUAGUCAAAAUUUUAUCAAUCAAAUGAUUAUAAAACACUAUAUUAAAAAAAUAAUGAAAUAAAAAAAAUAAAGUUUCAAGAUAAACUUAUUAAUAUCAAGAAUUAGCUCUAAAAAAGGCUCCAUAAUUGAAAAUGAUAUAUAUAUACCUUAGAAUAUACUUUUGUUAAAUAAAUAAGAAUUUAUUAUUUCGUCACCUUGCAUGCGAAACUUUUACAUUGUAUUAAUGUCAGAAAUAAUACUUUAUUUUUAUUCAUUAGGAUUAGUGAUUGAUUUAUUCAAACAUUGUAAUUAGUUCAGUAUGAUAUAAACUUGAAAACCCAAUUGGAAAAAGAAAGAAUUGUUACUGUUUUUUUCUCUUAUUUUUUUCUUCUUUUUUUAAAAAUAUAGAUAAUUCCUUUUUAAUCUUCUUACUUGAUAUUGAAAAAAAUGAUAUGCUGAAUCCAUCUCUAUUAUACCAGCUAAAAGUUAUUGGAUCAAAGUCCAAAUAAUAUCUAAAGCCCAAGAUUAAGUUGACUUUUGAUGUAGAUCAUAUUGUUUCCCUUACAAUGUACCCUGUGUAGAGGAGAGGACCAUGAUGCAACUCAUGCUUUGCGUCCAAGAUAGAUCAACUUUAUUGAGGUCCUAAGUAAGAUCAUCCCUUUUCCAGUCUUUCCCUCUUUUACCAUUACUCGCCUCAUCCUCGAUUAGAGUUGCACUAAACCAUUUUCUUCAGAAUCAUCACUAACUCAAGCUUCUAAGAGUGUUUUGAAAUCUACACUCUAGUACCUCUUAGCUUACCAUCUUCUUACAAUCUUCCUCCAUCAAUGAUGUCCACCAAGAUCUAGCUUAAUUCACCUUGAAGCUUAUCCUCCAUCAAUAAAGACAAACAUUUGUCGUCUAUAGGAACCUCAAGUAAAAUGCCAUGAAUCCUAUCAUAGAAGCAACCUCCACCUAUAUCUCCGCCUUAGUUUCUACCACUUCAAUCUUGGCAACCAUAAAUUCCUUUGGCACAACCCAAAACUCCUCUAUUAAGAACAACAUGCCCAAUGUAUCCAGCCAAGGCUUGAACAUUCCUAGUGUGAAGAAACCAGUUGUGAACAUUUUAAGUAUUCUCUCUACUGUGAACUUAGGUUUGCUCACUUUAACAACCUUGUCCUCUACAUUUGUUGGAGCCUUCGCCAUGCCCUUACUUUAGGCUUCUCCACCAAAGUAUUAUCCUUCUGGUCCAUAGGCUUCUUUGUUUUUUCAAACCUAAACACCUCUCAACAGUUUGGUUCUUAUGAUAAGAGUAAAUAGUGUAUAUAAGUUUAGUUAAAAAAUAAGUAUUUCCUUGGCCCCAAAACAAUGUUCACUAUUCACUCGAUGACUGCAAGUGUACAAUAUCGUUGUCAAAUAAUAAUUAUAACAAAAUAAAUCCAUUAGAAAGUAUUUCGAGGAUCGAACUCAUAAGAAAAUGUUACAGAUGACUUCAACUAAUUACUUGACUCACUAAUUAACUAAACUACUAAUAUAAAUAAGAAGAUAAUUAAAUAAUGCAAAUAUCAAUAAUAUGUAAAAAAUGAAAGUGCAAUAGGUGAAACAAUAAGAUAUCUUUUAUCUCUUUGGGUUAAACCCGUUCACCCAAUAAGAUCCUAUUUAUCUCAUGAUAACAAUUACAUCUCCCUUCAUAAAAAAUUCAAUUACUAACACAUAGUAAUUAAAUCAUUCAUCCUAGAUAAAUAACUUAUGGCCAUGUUACUUUUCCAUCAACCACGUAAUGCCUGUGAAAGGAUACCAUUUACCUUUUAUUGAGCUAUGAAUUUCACUAUUGUAAAUAAAGCUAUAUCAUGUAGAAGUCAUAUACUCAACGUACCAGUUUUCAGAUCUAUUACCAAUUGAACUCAGGUUUUUAAUACAUCAAAGUAUAUGAGUCAUGCACACAUAGUCAGUCGUUUACUCAGGAUUGAUGUAAGCCACAUUAUGAAUGUCACAUGUGAACAAAUCCAUAAACAGAUCUUCGAUAAAUUCAACUUGGGUCUUUUUCGAUGUAUUUUCAAUCUAAACAAUCACACAUACAUCUCUAUCUUCUAGGAGUCAUUCGCUCCAAUACCAAAGACAAUGCAUCUUCCCAAUUGAAAUGGAUAGACAAUAUAAUAGUCUUUGAAUCGAUUUUCUCAUUUUGGAUCUUUCAACUACAAACUAUUUGGAAUACCUACCAAUAUAAGUUGUUUUCUUGCAUCAUGAUUCGACCACAUGACGCAACUAAAUAUUAGCUAAGUAUUAAGUAAUUGGUAAGUGAUCUGCCAUAAUUUGAUAUGGCAAAUUAGGCUUUCUCGGUAUACUUAAGGAGCUUAUUCUCAAGCAAAUAAGCAUCAUUUUCGUAGUUUUUCAUAAUUUUUAUAUUUUAAGUUAAUAAGUGCAAAAGUCUCAUUUUUACUCAUUUGUGACCCAAUUUGGCCGAUAGUUCCAUUGGGAGACUAAUGUGUGGUUGAGUGGUGUAGGCACAUGUUGGAGGUUGAAAACGAGUGAAAAUAACACCAAAGGAAAGGGUAUCACGAUAUCCAAACCUUUGAAUUGCGAUACCUCCAAUAGGCUUAAAGAUUGGAGACCACCCUUCAGUGGGAUUGCAAUAUCCAUUUUGGGUAUCGCGAUAUCCACCCUCAAAGAAGACCCCCAAGUUCGAAACUAAUUGGGAUAUUGUGAUAUCCUCUUUUAGGUAUAGCGACACCGAUAUCGUGAGGGGGAAAUUGGACAAAAAAGGGUAGUCUUUGUCCACCCGAUGCACUAAUCACACAAGGCUUGUGUAGGGGAAAUUUUGGCAACAAAAUUUCAUCAACAUUCAGCCUAAAAUAGCCAAUUUUGGUUGAGGAGGAAAAAGACACACAUUAGUUUAGUUUUUAACUUUAGUUUCUCUAAGUUUUCUCUUAAUUUUUCUAGAACUUUUCUAGGGUUUUAUUUUUUCUUCUCAUUUCUUAGUAUUAGAUUUUUUUUUACACUUGCUUAUUGUUCUUAGUGUUCUAAGUGUUAGUUAAGUCAGUUAUCACUAUAGCUUAGGUUUACUUGCACUUUUAGCUUCUCUACCUUAGUUGUAUGACAUUUUUAGUUUAAGUUUAAUGUAUUUCAGUUUCAUUUACUUUAAAUCAGCUAAAGUUUGUUGCUUUAGAUUUUCUUAUUGAAAGCCUUUAGUUUCAUAUUUUUUUUUAAGUUUUCUUGCAUAAAAAUCUAAACUUUAAAUUUUUCUUAAGCUUUACUUUAAUGGUUUCUUUGCUUUUCAUUUUCAUGUCCAUUAACUUUAUUUUCAGCAUGAGUAGCUAAACCUAAAAGGGGGUUUGUUGAUGGAGAUGUGGGUAAGUUUCUUUUUUUGGACAAUGGACUAAAUGUAACACCCCUAACUCGAAUCUGUCACCAGAACAGGGUUACGAAACAUUAUCAGAGUUUACAAAUCAAACAGACAGAAAAUGCAAACAUUUCAUAUCAUAUAGCAUUCAUGUCAAAAACCAAUCAAAAUCAUACAUAUUGUCCCUUAUACGAGCCCCCGAGGCCCAAAUUACGCAUCAGAAACAAAUCGGGACUAAUUCGAAAAUGUAGAAAUUUUUUUGGAAACAUUUAAAAUAUUUCAAAGUUACAGGGGACACAUGAUCAUGUGGCCAGGCCAUGUGACUCACACAGUUAGUAGACACGCUCGUGUCUCAGACCGUGUGGACAUUCAUAAUAGGUACACACGGCCAUGUCCCAGCCCGUGUGAAUAUAUUGACUUAGGACACACAGCCAAGCCACACGCUCGUGUGCUAAGCAGUGUGAGUAUACUAACUUAGGUCACACAGCCAAACCACACGCCCGUGUGCUAGCCCGUGUGAGCAAUUUGAGCAUACUGACUUGUGCAAAUUAAAAGAUACAGGGGACACACGCGGCUGUGUCACAUGGCCGUGUGUCACAUACGGCUGAGACACAUGCCCGUGUUUCUGUCUGUGUGGACAAAAAUAGGUCAUUUUUCAAGUCACAUUUCUCACCAAAUUUGACAUCAACCUAACUCAACAUUUUUACACAUCAAAAAGCCACAACAAGUUAUUUAAAACAAGCCAAAAUCAUGUCUCAAACAUGACAUAUUACCACAUACAACCAAUGUGCCCUUAGGCACCUCAAAUGACAAUUUAAAGACAUGUCAAUCAAGUAUCUCAAUUUACCUAUUUGACCCAAUUCAUAUAUGCAUUUUCAAAACACAUAUUAAUCACACUUCAAACAUGAUAAAACCACUUAUAUAUAUACAUCAAAAUACCAAUACAAGUCAUUCAAAUAGCUAGUCUCAACAAAACAUUGAUAUGCCAUCAAUGGCCAAAAUAACCUAUACAUGCCUUUAUAACCGAAUUAAUUUUCUGAAAGUACCAAAAGAGCCGAUGGAUAGAGUGAAAUAGCUCCUACCAACUUCCAACCCGUACAAGCUUCUGAAUUACUAUAAAACACAGAAAAUAACACAGAGUAAGCAUUUAAGCUUAGUAAGUUCGUAUAAUUAAGAAUUUAACUUACCAAUUAUUCACAUUUAAUGUAAACAUACAAGACAUAUUCAAACCAAUUUGGCCAAAAGCCUAAACACAUAACCUCAACAUGUUAGCCAUGUAAACACAUAUAAUAGCUCAUAAUCAUGGAUGAACAUAGUCAUUAAGCAAGUUCCACAUACAUGUAUCAACCGAAUCAUGUUCCAAUAUAUCAAGUAAUAUCAUUUCCAUGUAUACAUUGGUAAUAGUUUGUACUGAACUCAUUUUGUCUCAUAACAGAACAUUGCCCAUUGAACCAUUUGAAAUAUCGUUGGAUACACAGGUAGUACACACGAAGUGUACAAAACUGUAAUCUAUCAAUUCAUGUACAUGUAUGCUCAUAUGAGCAUAUAAACGGGAAGCUCUUCCGAGCUAUAUAACAGGAAGCUUAUGCGAGCUAAAAAACGGAAAGCUCAUGCGAGUUGUAUAUCAGGAAGCUCAUGCGAGCUAAAUAUCAGGAAGCUCAUGAGAGCUGUGGUGUGUCCGCAACACAUGCAGGACUACAACCAAAAUGGUAACCCUAAUGACAUGUCAUUUGUAUCCUCUAAAUUUCUAAGGUUCAAACAAGACUCAGUAAUUAUCGGAUAUGUGAUCGGUAAUUAUACAUGGCAAUUGUACAAAUCACACACAAUAACAUUAAAUUUUAAAACAUAUAAAUGUACAAUUUAGUUACACGAACUUACCUCGACAAGUGUAUGUAGAUACGGAGGCUACUAAUUUGUUACUUUUCCUUUGCCUCGAUUUAACUCCGUACUAGGUCUAUCCGAAUCUAUAAGAAUGAAUUUGACUUAAUUCAAUAUCAUUCAUAUUCAAUUCAGUCCAACACACAUUUUUGACAAAAUUACUAUUUUGCCUCUAUACUUUUAAUUUAUUACAAUUUAGUCCCUAAGCUUGAAAAAUGAAAUUCAUACAAUUUAAUUCUUACUCAAGCCUAGCCGAUUUUUAUACAUAUUACUAGUAGCCCAUGUAUUUCACAAAAUUGAAAAUUUUACCAUAAAUUUAUCAUCUUUUCAAUUUAGUCCCUAAUUGACCAUUUCAUCAAAAUCCUCUUUACAAAAGUUGUUUAUCUAACAACAACCUUUCAUUUUCUAUCAUAAAACUUCAAAAUUCAAGCAUACUCAUCCAUGGAAAAAUCCUAAUACUUUAACGGUUUUGUAAAUUAAUCCCUAAGAUAGUUAGAUUAAGCUAUUACGAUCUCGGAAACAUAAAAAUUAUUAAAAACGGGACAAAAAUACAUACCUAAAUAAGUAAAAAUGAGCUUGCUAACUUCAAGCUUCCAUGGCUAGGGUUUCCAUCUUUUUUUAUUUGGUAAAAGAUGAUAUUAGAUUAUUUUUAUUUAUUUAUCAUCAUUUAUUAUUUCUUUUUCCAAAAUUAACCUUAAUAAUUUAUUAAAUUUCUAAUGAUGAAUAAUCAUUCUUAUCCACUAACUACUCUAAUGGUCUAUUUACUAUAUAAUGACCUCCAGUUUAAAAUUUCAUAGCUAUUUAAUAACCUUUAGCUAUUAGAAUUCAAAUUUUGCACUUUAUGCAAUUUAGUCCUUUUUAUCAGAUUAGACAUGUAAAUGGAAAAAUUUCUUAACGAAAUUUUUAUACGAUAUUUAUAUCAUACUAUAAACCAUAAAAUAAUAUUAAAAUAAAUUUUCUUCCAACCUCGAAUUUCUGGUCCCAAAAUCACUGUUCCGAUUUCACUGAAAACGGGCUGUUACAAAUGUAAUAAAUUAGACUAAAUCGAAUAGACCUAAAAACUUAGGGAUUUAUGCCCCUAAGGGGAUAUCUAGACAAGUGAGAUCGAGAGGUAAUCUUGUUGUGCACCAAUUCAUUAGUCCCAGAGUAGCCGAUGAGAUCGAAAGAUAAACUAGAUUAAUUUGUCUAAGUUGGUAAAAUUAAGAUUGAGAGAUAAAAAUGAGCCACUUAGUAAUUUAAGCGAUUUAAGUCCCUCAUUCGAAGACCAACGAACCACAUCAAAUUCAACCAACCACUGUUAGUCAUUUAUUGGUUAAUCUCGUAGUUUUGUACUCUUUACAAUUUGGUCCCUAGAUUAGCAUAUUUAAUUUUCUUGCAAAAAUUUCUUAUUAUGAUUUGUCAUACUAUAAUAUCAUAACAGUAGCCGCCUAGACUUUGUAGUGCAUGCCAUUUAUCACUCAAUCGCCAUCUCCUUUGGGUUCGAUCCUUUGAAUACUCCAGUGUUCCAUUGUAACACUACAAAUAUUACGACUAACCUGUAUGCUUGUAGUAAAAUCACAAUUUAAAUUUGCUCUACAAAAUUGUUUGUUUUAUGCGCACACGGUUAGUGAGCCUAUAACAGCUCGUUUUUAGUGAAAUCGGAAUAGUGAUUUCAGGACCACAAAUCUGAAGUCCAAAAAAUUUAUUUUAUUAUUAUUUUAUGGUUUAAAGUAUGAUAGAAAUACUGUAUAAAAAUUUAGUUAAGAAAUUUUACCGUUUACAUGCCUAAUUUGAUAAAAAUUGACUAAAUUGCAUAAAGUGCAAAGGUUGUAUUCUAAUAGUUAAAGGUACUAAAUAAGUAUAGAAUUUUAAAUUGGAGGUCAUUAUAUAUUAAUAGGCCAUUAAAGUUCUUAGUGGAUAAGUAUGAAUAGUCAUCAUUGGAAAUUGAAUGAAAUAUUAAGGUUAAUUUUGCAAAUUAGUGAUUAAAGUUAUAAUAAAUAAAAUAAAAUAAUCUAUUCGCAUCAUCAUCCACAAAAAAAAAAAAAAGAAACCUAGCCAUGGAAGCUUGAAAAUUUAGGCAAGCUUAUUUUGCUCAAUUAUGUAUGAAUCUUUGUCCCGUUUUUGAUGAUUUCUAUGUUUCUGAGAUCGUAGUAGCUUAAUCUAGCUAGUUGGGGGAUUAACUUGCAAAAUUGUUAAAGUAUUAGGGUUUUUCCAUUGAUGAAUAUGCUUGAAUUUUGAAGUUUGAUGAUAGAAAAUGAAUGGUUGUUGUUAGAUAAACAACUUUUAUAAAGAGAAUUUUGAUGAAAUUAUCAAUUAGGGAUUAAAUCGAAAAAGAUGAUAAACAUAUGGUAUAAUUUGUGAAUUUUGUGAAAUAUAUGGGCUGAUAUUAAUAUGUAUAAAAUUGACUAGGCUUGAGUAAGAAUUAAAUUGUAUGAAUUUUAUUUUUCGAGCCUAGGACUCAAUUACAAAGGAAUUAAAAAGUGUAGGGCAAAAUGGUAAUUUUGCCAAAAUUCCAUGUUGGAUUAAAUUGAUUGAGAAUUAUAUUGAAAUGAGUUAAAUUUAUUUGCAUAGAUCCUGUCAAACGUCGUACAGAGUUAGAUCGAGACAAAGAGAAUAUCUAAUUAGUCGCCUUCGUAUCUAAGUACACUUGUCGAGGUAAGUUCGUGUAAUAAAAUUGUAUAUUUAUAUGUGUUAAAUUGAAUUAUUGUUUGUGAAUUAUAUAAUUUCCAUGAAUAAAUAUCGAUUGUAUAUUUGACAAUUAUUGAGCUUUGUUUGAACCUUAGGAAUCCGUAGGAUACAAAUGACAAGUCAUUAGGGUCACCGAUUUCAGCUCUUAUGAGCUUCCUGAUACUCAGCUCGCAUGAGCUUCCUGUUAUUUAGCUCGUAUGAGCUUCCCAUUAUUCAGCUCACACGAGCUUUCCGUUAUUCAGCUCAGAGGAGCUUACCGUUUAUAGCUCGUAUGAGCAUACAUGUACCUGAAUUGACGGAUUACAAUUAAGUACACUUCAUGUGUACUACUCGUGUAUUUAACGAUAUUCUAAAUGGUUCAACGGGCACAGUUCUGUUAUGAGAUUAUAUGAGUUCGAUAUGAACUAUUACUGGUAUUUACAUGAAAUACACGAAAUAUUAUUAUUUGAUGAAUUCAACCAUGUGUGUUGGAUCUUAUAUGUGAUUUUCAUGGCUAAUAUGUUGGUGAUCAUGUGUUUAGGCUUUUGGCCAAAUUGGUUGAGAUAUGCUUUGUUUACUUACCUAUUUUAUGGAUAUAUGGUAAGUUAAAUUCUGAGUUAUACGAACUUACUAAGCUUGAAUGCUUACUUUGUGUUAUUUUCCAUGUUUUAUAGUAAUUUGAAAGCUCGUACGGGUUGGAAACUGGUGUAACACCCCUAACCCACAUCCAUCUCCGGAAUAGAGUUUCAGAGCAUUACCGAUCAAACAAACAUAAUUUUAAAACACAAUCAAACAUAUCCAAAACAUGUCAUAACAAUAAUCCUAGGUGUCUAAUCAAUGUACCCUCAUAGGUACCACAAUUAUAUUAAUAAAACAUAUCAAUAGAACAUCAUUCAAAUCCAACUUGUAAACAUGCCAAAUAUAAUCUAUUUUACCUAUUUCAUGUUCAUUUAAACAUUAACUUAAACAUGCCAUAAUAUGACCUCAAACAUAAACACACACACACACACACACAUACACACACACACACACACACACGCACACACACACACGCACACACACACACACACACACACACACACACACACACACACACACACACACAUAUAUAUAACCAACCAAUAUUAACUUAUAAUCUUAUUUACAAUCAAUCCACAAAAUGACUAAUAAUUAGACACCUUAGGUACAUGCUGACACAAAAAGGAUAAACAUCACCACAUUUGAGUUCGAGACCGUUAUUGGAUGCUAAAUUGGUGAUCAAAAUUAAGUACCUAACUUGUGCACUGAAAAAAACCGUACGCUGAGUAAAACUCAGUGGUAUUUCUAUAAUCCGAAUAUAAAAAAAAUAUGAAUCACAAAUAUACAAUCUAAAUAUUUCAAUAAUCAUAUCACAUUUCAUUUGUUUCACAAUAUCUCAAUUCUCAUAUUUGCUAUAUAAAUAGUUUUUCACAAUAUAAUACACAUCAUUUAAACAAUAAUUUUGUUCAUUCCAUAUCCAAUUCAUGAAUAAACAAUUCAUGUGUCUCAAUCCAUAUUUCAAUUCACUGUCCCAUUUUCAUUUAACAUACAAUAUCAUCUAACAUAAAUCAUAAUGCAAUUUCGAUUAAUUACCCCUAUUAACACGACUCGGACUCGGACGGAUACACGGAUACAACCAAAACACACCAGUUUGGCACCCAGUGCCUCAUCGGAUAAUUCAAAGUAAUAAUUUGACACCCAGUGUCUCAUCGGCUAAAUCGAAGUAAAUUGGCACAUAGUGCCUCAUCAAAUAUAUCCGAAGUAAUAAAUUGACACCCAGUGUCUCAUCGACUCAAUGUCGAAGAAAUCCCUGAACUCUUCCAAUAUUAUGGCAUGUCAUCUAUAUCCUACUCAGCCCGAUACAGUUAAUAGGGUUUAAUCUCACAUUUCAGAUAUAAUCAAUAUCCAAUACUGAUUUUUCAUAUAAUCACAUAAUUACACAUAUAUUCAUUUCAAUUCAAAAAUCAAUCCAUUCAAUAUAUAUAUCUACUAAUUCAAUUCAUUCAAUCAAUUAUCAAAAUAUCAUUUACUCACCUCAACACUUACCAUAUACAUGAAAUAAAAACUGGAACAAUUAAUAACUAGCUUCGGAUUAUAGAAAUACAAAUCAGAAAUUCCGAGCAAUUCCUCGUCGACUUUAUCUUUCCCCUUUUUAUUCGAGAGUUCCGGUACGACGUUAGCUAUAGAAUUAAAAUAAUUAAAAUUUAUCAAUACAAUACAAUUUAGAUUUCAUAUUGAAUAUUUCAACUUUUUACACAACAUUUGUCUAAAUUCCAAUUUAGUCCCUAAAUUGAGACUAACUUUUAUUCUUCACAUUUAAUUCUUUAUUUUCAUGCAAAUUCCAUUUUAGACUAAAUUCAACUCCCUAUUUUCACAUAAAUUCCUAAAUUUCAAAAUUUUCACAAUUUAGUCCCUAUUACUCAAAAUUUACAAUUUAAUCUACAAUUCAAUCCUUUUUCAUUUCUAACUUAAAAAUCUAUCAAUUUAAUCCAUAAUACUCAAAUUAUUCAACAUAGUCAACAUUUAAAAACUUAAUAAUUUCUAAAAUUUCAACAUAGAUCGGGAAUUAUUGAAUAUCGAGAUUCUAAAAACUCAAAAAUUACAUGAAAAGGGACUAAAUUGACUAGCCAAUUGAACUUGGAACCUUGAAACCCUAGUUUCUCAUUUCUUUCCUUUCUUUUCUCCUUGUUUUGUUUUCUGCUUUGUUCUUUCUAUUCUUUAUUUAUUUCAUUUACUUAUUUAUUUUAUUAUAUUUACUUUAUUAUUAUAUUAUAUAUAUUUACUUAAAUAUUAAGUAAUACAUAUUUUAUUAAUAUAUACAUAUGUAUAGUAUUUUUACACAUGUAAUCACUAUUAUCAUCCACUUGUUGAAAUAAGGCUUAAUUUCUUAUUUAGUCCCUUUACUUUUUCUUUAAUCUAUAAUUCAACUUUUAUCUUUUAUGCAAUUUAGUUCUUAUACCUAAUUACUCUUAAUUCAUGCAAAAUCACCUAACCAAAACCUAAUUAACUACACAACUAACUUCGUAAAUAUUUGUAAUAAAUAUUUACGAGACACCUGUGAGUAUCGGGUCGUUACAAGUGGUCGGAGCUAUUUCACACUAUCCAUCGGUCCUUUUGGUACUUUCAGUAAAUUAAUUCUGAUUAUAAUGACAUGUAUAGGUUAAUUUGACCAAUGUUGGUAUAUAAUUGUUUUGUUGAGAUUAGCCACUCAUAUGGCUUGUGUUUGGUAUAUUUUGAUACAUAUAUAUAUGCGGUCUUACUAUAUUUAAUGUGUGUUUAAUAUGGUAGAAUGAUGAAAAGUAAAAUGUGGUUUGAAUAUGCAUAUAUGUAUUUGGUCAUUUAGGUAAGUUUGGAUACUUGGUUGUAUGUGGUGAUAUUUCUUGUUUAAGACUUAAUUUUGGCUUGUUUUGAAUGUCUUAUUAUGGCUUAUUGAUGUGCAAAAAUGUUGAGUUAGGUUGGUGUCAAAUUGGGUGAGAAAUGUGGCUUGGAAAAUGGUAUAUUUUCAUCCACACGAGCAAAGACACAAGCAUGUCACGGCCAAGUGACACGUCCCUUGUAUUUUUUAAAUUGCGCAAGUCAGUAUGCUCACAUGGCCUAGCACAUGGGAGUGUGGCUUGGCUAUGUGGCCCAAGUUAGGGAGUUAUACGGGAACGAACACGGGUUGGGACACUGCUGUGUGUCCUUAUUUCGAAUGUCUACCUAAGACACGGACGUGUCUCUGAAUAAAGAUACAAGGGACACACGACCUCGAAAAGAAAAGUAAAGCGAAGAAAAUCUCAAUUCACUGCAUUCAUCAAAUCGUCACCCGAACCCUAGUGGGUUCUGAGGUAUUCGGGGUGUCAGAGAUGAUUUCUGACGGCGACAGAAGGCGAAAUGACAGGUAAAGUUCCUAUUUUUAUUUGUUAUUCUUUUUUUCCCUUCAAAAAUAAAGAAAAUAAAAAAAUGCUACCUCUUUUGUUCGAAAAUUGAUACUUCUUUUUUUGUAUUUUUUCUUGUAUGUCUAAAAAUACAUGGUAGUUGUUAUGGCUUUUAUAGUCGAUUUACAACACUGCAUGUUACUUUUUUUGUAUUUUCUUUACUGUUUCAACUGCUUUGCGUGUUUUCGUUCGUUGUCCUUAUUCUUCUUUUUUUGCAGGUGUCCUUGGAAAGUCAACGAUGGGGCAAGGAACCUGUCUUAGCCAUUUUUGUGAAACGGCGAUAGGGGCAGACCUCGGGACGAGAGGCUUUGGGUGACAUGCCUGCAAAGGGGGUGCGGCGCCAGGCUAGGGUUUUUUUACUGAAAUGUAGUUUAAGCUGUUGGGCAACCAGGCCCUUAGGUUUUCUCAUUUGGGUUUUUGAGCCUUGUAAAUGGACUAGCAUAUUUUAAUUGGACUUGGGUUUUAUUAUUUAUUUUUGGUUUUUAUUUUUUUGCUUAUUUAUUUCUGAUUUUGGGCCGGACAAAAUUAGGCCUUUACAGCUGCCCCUCUUUGUUCAUUGACGUGUAAUGAGAAUGAAGCAAAGACCUUAAAAAGGGUCAAUUUUUCCUGGUCUUGUCGAAUCUUCAACUUCUUUGGUGUUUCUCUUUUCCAAGUAGACUCAUUCUAACCCACUGCAACUUCAGAGGUAAAGGAUUUUUCGCUUCAACUUGUUUCACUGCAACUUCAGGGAGAUAAGAUUAGUAGUUUCAAUCUGCUCCAUUGCAACUUUAGAAAGAUGAGAUUCAGGGAGAUAAGAUUAGUAGCUUCAACUUGCUCCACUGUAACUUCAGGGGGAUAAGAUAAGUAACUUGUAGCUUUAAUCUGUUCCACUGCAAUUUAGGGAAAUAAGAUUCGUUGUCUUCAAUCUGCUCUACUAUAACUUCAGGGAGAUAAGAUUUGCUAUGGCACAUUUAAUCUGACCCAUUGUAACUUCAGAGGUAUAGGAUUUAGUUUCAAUCUACUCUGCUGGAACUUCAGGGAGAUACAAUUUGUAGCUUUAAUCUGCUCCACUGUAACUUCAGGGUUAUAAGAUUUGCUAUUUUCAAUCUGCUCCACCGCAACUUUAGGGAAAUAAGAUUUUCUAUUUUCAAUCUGCUCCACUGCAACUUCAGGGAGAUAAAGUUUGUAACUUGUAGCUUUAAUCUUUUCCACGGCAACUUCAGGGAAAUAAGAUUCGCUAUAUUCAAUCUGCUCCACUACAACUUCAGGGAGAUGAGAUUUGUAGCUUCAAUCUGCUCCAUUGCAACUUCAAGGAGAUAAGAUUUGUAACUUGUAGCUUUAAUCUGUUCCACUACAACUUUUGGGAAAUAAGAUUUGCUAUCUAUAAUCUGUUCCACUGCAAGUUCAUGGAGAUAAGAUUCACUAUCUUCAAUCUGCUUCACUUCAACUUUAGAGAGAUAAGAUUUGCUAUAUUCAAUCUGAUCCACUGUAACUUCAGGGAAAUAAGAUUUUCUAUUUUCAAUCUGCUCUACUGUAACUUUAAGGUGAUAAGAUUUUUUUGUUUUAAUCUGCUCCUCUGCAACUUUAGGGAGAUAAGAUUUAUGGCUUUAAUCUGCUCCACUCCAACUUCAGGGAGAUAAGAUUCACCACGAUGACUUCAAUCUGUCCCACUGUAACUUUAGGGGUAUAGAAUUUAUGGUUUCACUAAUCUAUUACACCGUUCUCUAGGGAACACGACCCGUAGAAUCCAUUUCGUGGGCCGAUAUUUACGCCAAGUAAUUACGAUGUCAUGAUCAGAAUGAAUCAAAUGCUCCUAACUAGAUGUGUAUGAAUGAAUGUAAAAUGUUAUUUUUUUCGAGAAUGAUCCCCUUUUAAUGCUUAGGUUGACAUUGCUCAUUGUUAAUCAAGGUUCUAUCAUUGACGCAUUACCCUGCCUUCUUGUUCAGCUGGUAUCUUUGACAAAAAACCUGAGAAAAUAAUCACAAUUUAAACUAUUCAUUCCCAAACCUCUCAAACUCUUAGAUUUGGUUAGUUCUGACUAGUAGUCUUGUUUCAGAUCCUUGUACUAUUUAGAAAACUUUCAGAGCAAUAUGCAAGAAAUCUUUUUACUUGAAUAUUAUUAGUUCAUUAAUCGUUAUUUCAAUGAAAAAUGCUUAAAAAAGACAAUAACAAUGGACAAGGUUGAAAUUUAUUAGGAGCAAAGCUCAAAAUGAAUAGAUUAAUCAAAAUAGAAAACAUUGCUAAAAUACAAAAUGAAUAAGAUGAAACUAGGUGCCCCAGAUAUCGUAGCAUGAGCUUCUCCGCGCUAACUUCUCGAUGACCCUUUUGAGCCUGAUAUAUGUUUAGGAGAUCUAGAGUACUUCACUGAUGCCUUAAGAUGUAACGUUCUUCCCUCUGAAAAGACCCAACCGUCACAUGUUCAAACCAAAUUUGAGCUGCCCUUUCCUGGGUUUUCAACUCAAAACCCCUUUAGUCUCAAGACACCCUUUGCGAGUUUUCGCCUUGGCCUCUCAUCUUUGUUUUUAGGUGAAAUAUUUCUUGACUGAAUUCGAAUUGACAAGAUUAGGCAAUUUUUUACCAUCCAUCUCAUUCAAAAUCAGUGCUCAUCUAGAAAAGGCCUUUUUUACCACAUAAGGUCCUUCCCAAUUUAGCAUCAAUUUCCCUCUGAAAUCCUUUUGUAUAGGCUGGAUCUUUUUCAGUACUAGGUCCCCCUUAUGGAAAUUCUCUAGGGUGAACCUUUUUUAUCAUAAGCUCACAUCAUGCGCUUUUGGUACAUCAUACCAUGACGGAUAGCUUUCAUCCUCUUCUCCUCAAUUAAAUUCAGUUGAUCAUAUCAGGAUUGAAUCCAUUUUGCUUCAUCUAACUUCAACGCCGCUAAAACUUGGAGAGAAGAAAUCUCGACUUCAAUGGGAAAAAUUGCCUCCAUUCCAUAAACCAAUGAGAAAGGCGUUUCCCUGGUGGAGGUUCUAAAAGACGUUCGAUAAGCGUAGAGGGCAAAUGGUAAAUUCUCAUGUCAAUCUUUAUAAGUCUCAGUCAUUUUCCCCAUGAUCUUCUUAAUGUUUUUAUUGGUCGCCUCCGCACAAUUCAUUUUUGGGUGAUAUUGUGACGAGUUGUGGUGUUUGAUCUUGAAUUGACUACAGACCUCUGCUAUAGUGCUGUUGUUUAAGUUUAAUGUAUUGUUAGAUAUAAUCCUUUCUAGCAUCCCAUACCGACAUAUGAUCUCUUUCUUUAAGAAUUUGCUGGCUGUCGAAUUCGUGACAUUGGCAUAAGAAGUGGUCUCUACCCACUUGGUGAAGCAAUUAAUGACUACAAAGAUGAAUCGAUGCCCAUUGGAUGCUUUUGGUGAGAUCGGCUCAAUGACAUCCAUGCCCCACAUAGAGAAAGACAAUAGAGAAGUCAUAACAUGAAGAUGUGAAGGACGUACAUGAAUUUUGUCUCUAUAAAUUUGACACUUAUGACAUCUUUUUGCAUAACUGAUACAAUCCCCUUCCAUGGUAGACCAAUAAUACCUGAAUCUCAUGAUUUACUUGGCCAUUGGAAAACCAUUAGCAUGCAUUCCACAAAUGCCCUCAUAGACUUUUUCUAAAAUUUUCUUACCCUCAACAGCGUCCACACAUCUUAGUAGCACUUGAUCCUUUCUUUUUUUUUUGUAUAGGAUCUCUCCAUCUAAAACAUAGUCACUGGCCAGUCUUCUUAAUGUCCUUUUAUCAUUCUUAGUUGCUUGGUCAGGGUAUUCAUGAUUCUUCACAUGUCGCAAUAUAUCAUGUUACUAAGGGUGAUCAUUAUUUUCUUCUUCUUCUUUGAUGUUGUAACAAUGAGCCGGAGUCUCAUAAAUGCUCAUUUGGAUAAGUUUUACAUCCUCUUUUUUGUUCACUUUGACCAUGGAAGCUAAUGUAGCCAGGGCAUCAGCCAUUUGAUUUUUAUUUCGCAGGAGGUAGUAGAAGGUGAUGUUAUCAAACUCUUCAAUUAGCUCAAGAACUAGCCUUCGAUAAUUGAUCAAUUUGGGGUCUCUCGUCUCCCAUUCACCUUUGAGUUGAUAGAUCACUGGUGCAGAAUCCUCAUAUACCUCUAGUACUUUGAUAUUACGUUCUAUGGCUGUACGAAUACCCAUGAUGCAUGCUUCGUAUUCCGGUAUAUUGUUUGUAUAAUCAAAAUCCAAUUUACUAGUAAAGGGAUAAUGAUUUCCGUUUGGGGGUACCAAGACUGCCCUGAUUCCAUUACCUAUAACGUUUGACGCUCCGUCAAAAUUUAGUUUCCAAGGAUAUCCUUCCUUAGUAUCUUCUUCAAUGGUCGUAACAUACAUCAGAUCUUCGUUAGGGAAAUCAAAGUUCCAAGGCUAGUAAUCUUCUAGAGCUUUACUAGCUAAAAAAUCGAUUAUUUCACUCCCUUUUAUUGCCUUCUGGUUCACAUAAAUUAUAUCAAAUUUAGAAAGUAGAAUUUUCCAUCGGGACAUUCUUCCAUGCAGAGCAAUCGACUCCAUCAUGUACUUUAUAGGGUCUAUUUUUUAUAUUAGCCAAGUUGUAUGGUACAGCAUGUAUUAUCCCAGUCUUCGGGUUAUCCAGAUUAAAGCACAACACAACUUUUCGGUUGGCGAGUAUCUUGUUUCACAUUCAGUGAGCUUCUUGCUGACGUAGUAUAUCGCUCUUUCUUUCCUUCCUGACUCAUCAUGUUGGCAGUGCACGCAUCGCAUUGAAUUCCCAUAUACUGCCAAGUACAAUAUCAGUGGCUUAUCUAGACUAGGUGGAAUCAGUAUUGAGGCAUUAGACAGGGUAUGUUUGACCUUGUCAAAUUUUUUCUAGCAUUCUUCAUCACAUACACCUGAAUUGUGUUUCUUAAUGAGACGGAAUAUGGGGCUACAUUUCUCAAUUAGUUGUGAAAUAAAUCGAGCGAUGUAAUUUAGUCUUCCUAGGAAACCUCGAACUUCUUUUUGAGUGUGCGGCGGAGGCAACUCCUGUAUAGCCUUAACUUUAUCUAGGUCAAUCUCGAUCCCCUUUUCACUGACUAUAAAUCCUAGCAAUUUUUUCGACCUAGCCUUGAAGGUACAUUUUGCUGGAUUGAGCUCCAGCUUGAAUUUUCUCAAUUUCAAGAACAAUUUCCUUAAGACUUGUACAUACUCCUUUUUUGUUCGAGACUUUGCAAUCAUAUCGUCAACAUAAACUUCAACUUCUUUGUGCAUCAUAUCAUGAAACAAAGUUACCAUGGCUCUUUGAUAUGUUGUUCCCGUAUUUUUUAGUCCAAAUGGCAUAACUUUAUAGCAAAAUGUUCCCCACGUGUAUCUUGAUCUGGUUGCAUCCGGAGAAGUCGUCUAUAAAUGAGAAAAGUGAAUAACCUGUCGUGUUGUCCACUAAGGUGUCGAUGUGAGACAGCGAGAAAUUGUAUUUCGAAAUGGCUUUGUUUAAAUCCCUGUAGUCUACACAAUUCAGACUUUCUCAUCUUUCUUAAGGAUGGGGACUAUAUUAGCUACCCACUCUAAGUAUUUGACCACUUGUAGGAAACCAAUGUCAAAUUACUUUUUAGCCACUCUUUUAAUUUUUACCAAGACGUCGAGCUUCAUUCUUCAGAGUUUUUGUUGAACUGGCUUGCACUCUUCCUUUAUAGGGUGUCAGAGUACCAUGAUAUUAGUACUUAUCUCGAGCAUAUCUUGAUACGACCAUGUGAAGACAUAUUUGAAUUCUUGGAGUAACUCAAUAAGGUCUUGUUUUGUCUCUACAGUGAUGCAAUUUCUGAUACUCUCCUAUUUCUCUUCUCCUAAACUCACAAUUUCUACUAACUCUUUGUAAGGUAGGAUUUGUUUCUCGCCUUGUUCUACCAUUCUUAACAAAUCAGGAGAUAGGUUACAAUCUCGAUCAUCUUUAAUGUCCUGAGGUUCCUCUGAACACAUAUCUUGCUCAAACGGAGAUUCUGAGUCGGUAGCAACGUCACUCAUAUCAUUAAUAUCCGAAGACUUGUUAUAUGAAUGAAGAAAGACCCAAAGAACAAAUGAAUCUAAGAAUAAUUGUUUGUAUGGUAUGAGUAUGAAUGAAAUUGAAGAAAUAAAAGAAUAUUUGCCAAAAUGAGACACAAAGAUGAAUUUUAUUGAAAUAAAGAUAUUGGACCUAUGCCUAUUUCACAAAAGGAUUCUUAUUGCUCUUAAGCUUAGAGCAAUAAGUGUGUUUUGAACAUUACUCUGAAUUAGUUCUAAAAAUUACAGGGAUCUAUUUCGCAGUCCAAUUGUUCAAAACACUUCCGGGGAUAUAAGGAUGGAUGCCUGACAGGUUUUCUUCCCCAAUUCUUUUUUUAGAUAUGACAUUGAUGCUCAGAUUUCCCAACAUUCCUUCCAAGCCUUUGACCUCUUCAAAGAAUUCUAACUAUUUGUUAUCCAUUAGAUUUUGCACUAAAGUUUUAAAUUUAGCGUAGUCUUGGAUUUCAUGAUCUUCUUCAUCGUGGAACUCACAGUAACUCCUCAUUUCCUUAGGUAACUCCUCUGAAUCUUGAACGAUUAAUCCUACGUUUAUCAUAUUUUGCCAAACCCAUUUUAGUGGGUUUUUUUUACUUCCGCCACAUCAAUUUUGGUCAUCUUUCCUCUAUUCUCAAUUAUCGCGUUUACCCCUUGAUCUGAAUGACUGGGUAAAAGAUUUCCUGCCACUUUAGGUCUCGAUGGAUUAUCGAACCUUACGAUCCCCAUCUUGAUAAAAUUUUUAAUCAACUUUUUGAAUGUGGCACAGUUCUCAAUUGAGUGUUCCGUUAUUCCUGCGUGGUACUCACAUUAAGCAUUCGCAUCGUACCAUUUUGGGAGCAGAGGUUGCAUGGUUUUUAAGUAAAAUGGGGAUACCACGUGCGCAUUGAACAAGUUCUGAUAUAACUCCCUAUAUGUCAUGGAUAUGGGUAUGAACUAGAGUUUUUCUAUGUUUGGUUUUAAGUUGGAUUCUUGCCUCGAAGGGCUUUGGUGGCUGGUUGUCACAGUCAUUGGUUGGCCCACAGUAAUCGAUUUUGAAUAACCUUUAUUAUACACGCUCACAAUAUUCACUUCAUUUUCCUUCUUCCUUGGGGCUGAUCUUUUAGCGUUUUCCUCUGCGUCUAUUUUUCACUCCUUACUGCAUUUUCAAUCAUUUCUCUGAACAAUACUAUAUCUGAAAAGCUCUUGGUAACACUUCCCAACAUAUGGUUAAUGAAUGGGGCUUUAAGAGUAUUUAUGAAAAGCGUUGUCAUUUCUUUCUUUUGAAGAGGUGGUUGAACUUGCAUAGCCACCUCCCUCCAUCUCUGAGUGUACUGUCUGAAGUUUUCACUUUGCUUCUUUUUCAUGUUUUGCAGCAUAAUUCAGUCGGGUGUCAUGUCGGUCAAAUGGUUGUAUUGUUUCAUGAAAGCCUAUGCCAAAUCUUUCCAUGAACUGAUUUUGGCACGGUUUAGCUAGUUGUACCACUUGGUGGCUAACCCGAUCAAACUAUCCUGGAAGCAGUAGAUUAACAGUUGGUCGUUAUUGAUGUAUCCCGUCAUUUUUGGAAAAAACAUUGUGAUAUGGGUUUCAAGACAACUAGUCUCAUUAUAUUUUUUGAAUUAUGGAGUUUUGGAUUUUGGUGGGAGCAUUAGAUCAAGGACUAAUCUCAACUCCUUAACAUCAACCCCGCCAAGGUAAUCGACAUUCCCCACAGCUCUAAAUUUCUCUUCCAACCGCUUGAACCGAUCUUCUAGUUGUUUUGGCAAUUCAAUUUUUGCCCUAUCCAUUUCAGCCAUGUCGUCUAAAUUGGGAACACCUGGGUUGGUCAGAUUAUCCUGGGGGUUGGAACUUGAACCAGUCGGGUAAUUAACCGGUGUUGAGGUACCGGCUUGAUAUGGUUGAGGUCUUAUGAUAACGAGUACCCUUCGUGGAUAUGUUUCUGGUUAGGCUUGAACAUUUAGCAGGGUAAAGCAUGGGAGGUAGGUAGGGUCUUCAUUAUCAUCCCCCGAGUUAACUACAGUGCUUUUUCUUUUUUCGGUCCCUCCGGCCAGCAACUAUGUCAAUUGGCUUAUCAUACUUCGUUGGGAUUCUUGUAUUUGAUCCCUCAUGUCUUACUAUACUUUAGCUAAUUGUUCCUGCAGCUGCGCUUGCAACUGAUCUUGCAUGUCCUUUUGAAUCUGUUCUAAUCUCUCUAAUCUUUGAUCCAUUGCUUUGAUUUUGCCGCGAGUACCGUAACGAUAUUUAGUUGGUAGAUUCUUGUUGGUUUCUAAGGUAACUGUCAUAAUUUUGAUUAAUUAGGGUCUUUUUAUGAAAUUCAAUGCAUAUGAUAAAAUGUAUUGCUAUGAAUGAAAUGAAUGCAAAAAGGCGUUGAUUCUAGUUCAAUUUCAUUAUAACAACUUUACUAGAAAACAAGUUUCUUUACAUAAAGUAGAUACAUAUACGACCUCGCCUUCACAUUCAAAACCAUAACUUUCCCAAGAAAAAAAGCUAAUUCUCGGCCUUAAUCCGACUCCGAUUCAUAUAUCAGGCUUUGAACAGUUGGGGUCUGCAAGUGGUCAGCCACUUCUCGUACUCAGACUAAAGCUUCGAUAAUAACAUAGUCCAUAUUUCUGAUCUGCCCCUUUCACAGGCUGUCACAUUUUUCUUGUUGCUUUUUCUCGGGCCAUAUUCGUGCGGUCGUGUUGUCUUCCACUUUAUCAAGAAACCUCUUUUCCAUGACAAGCUCUCUAUUUAGUAAUCGAACACGAAUCAACACCCUUUUUUUAGAUGAAAAUGCAAUGCAAUCACAGCGAAAACAAGACGAAACAAGUUAGUACACUUCAUAUAAAGUUAGAAUUUAAAGAAAGCAAGAAAUAAUACAUAGAGAACCUAUUCGGGUGACCACUAGAGGUUCGGUAUGGUUCUAUCUAGGGUAAGUUAUUAGGGCUCAUUACAUGUGGUUCGGUUCUAAUGUAAGGGUACCUGAACAAACAGAUUCCUUGAUCCUCACCCAUUAUAGGCUCAUAUCGACCGAGUUUGGCACAGGGGAAUACAUUUCUCUAUGGCUGUACGGAGAUGAAGAUCUCACGAAAACAUAGGUAUGGAUGUAUACCGAAAGCGAUCCAUUAUCCUAUACAGAGGUGAAAACCUAACAAAGGAAUAACUUUUCACUCCCACUUAAGAAGGGCAAAAUCAAACGAUUAUGCAAUGCAACAUGCAGAAACAUACUAAGAGACUUGAACCAAUUAAAGCAAACAUAUCAUUAUGUAACAAAAUGAUGAAGACCACAAAAAUGAAAGAUGAAAUGCAAUGAAUGAGUCGUAAAUUUAAACUAAAUUAUCAAUUUUCGACAAAAAGACCAAAAGUAAUCAACUCGUGGCUAAGCUGUCGAAACCUUUUUCUUUUGAAAUCGACUUUGUUUAAAAACGAAAAUGGAAGUCGCCGCCAAUCUUUUUUAUCAGGUGUGAUUGGAUCACCUCGUAAUUUGAUCAUUUUAAUAAAAUUUUAGAUUUACUAAAACGAUAAUUUCUAAUAUACAAAAUCUAGGAGAUGGGUUCGGGAGCUGGUUACGCACAAUGAAGGAUUAACACCCUCGUUACGCCCAAAAUUGGUACCUAAUUGAUUACUUGAUAUUUUAAUGUCAAAAAUUCUAAAAUUUGAAGAGAACUUGAAACACGAUCCCUUUUUGCAUAAUGUUAUUAAGAUAAGAUUUAACUAAAUUAAAUUAAAUGGAAAAGGCCUUAUUUGAAGUUAAUCGAGAAGAAAGACCAUGCCCCGCGAGUUAGGACAUGAUACCUUGGAUUCUCGAAAAUCAAAAUAAUCGCCAUUUAGUCGCCAUUUUUUUGCCUUUUCAGUCCUUUUAAAAAAAAACCUAAAAACCAUAUUGAAGCCAAAUGUCCUCUAAAAUCGAAAAGAAAAGAGAAAUAAAGCAAAGAAAAUCACAACUUUGCCACGUUCAUUGAGUCCUUGCCCGAACCCUAGUGGGUUCUGAGGUAUUCGGGGUGUUGGAGAUGAUUUCUGACGGUGACAGAAGGUGAAACGACAGGUAAAUUUCCUAUUUUUAUUUUUUAUUCUUUUUGUUUCCCUUCAAAAAUAAAAAAAAUAAAAAUAAAGUUCCACCUUUUUUUUUUAACUUGAUGCUUCUUUUUUUUUUGUAUAUUUUCGCGUGUGUCUAAAAACACAUGGUAGCUGUUAUGGCUUUUAUAGCCGAUUUACAACAUUGUAUGUUACUAUUCUUUUAUAUUUUCUUUAUUGUUUCCACUGCUUUGCGUGUUUGCAUUCGUUGUCCUUGUUCUUCCUUUUUUGUAGGUGUCCCUUGAAAGUCAACGAUGGGGCAAGGAACUUACCUUGCCAUUUUGGUGAAACGGUGACAGGGGCAGACCUCAGGACGAGAGGCUUCGGGCGACAUGCCUGCAAAGGUGGUGCGGCGCCAAGCUAGGGUUUUUUACUGAAAAGUAGUUUAGGUUGUUUGGCCACCAAGCCCCUAGGUUUUUUCAUUUGGGUUUUUGGGCCUUGUAAAUGGAUUGGCAUAUUUUAAUUGGACUUGGGUUUUAUUAUUUAUUUUUGGUUUUUAUUUUUUUGUUUAUUUAUUUUUGAUUUUGGGCUGGAUAAAAUUAGGCCUUUACAACGUGGAUAUAUAUAAUUGGGAUGCUGAGUCUUAAAGUUUAACACAUGACUUCCCAUUUCUUUUGGGUUUGCUUUGAUUUUUGGUUUACAUUAUAAGAUAGUGAUCAAAUUUUAUUUUUGACCCCUAUACUAUCCUAUAAUUUGAUAUUUGAGCUAUAUACUUUAAUUUUUUUAUAAUCUGGUCCAUCUAUUUUUAUAAUGUCAUUAGUUGCUCUAAAUAGUUAAUAUUUUUAACUAUUUUAAUCAAAACGCUAACUUCAAUUUUUCUUAAGAAUACUAUUCCAAAAAAAAUCUAUCAUGACGAAUUUGAAUGAAUAUUUUAAGAAAAAAUUCACAACAAUAUUUUCAAUGUUAUUUUUAUUGCAACAUGAAUAUCAAGUGAAUAUUUUUUUAUUUAAAAUUUUAAACCAAUGAAUUUAAUAGAAAGAUUUUAAUAGUGGUUCCAAAAAAUUAUUUUAUCAUGAUGAAUUUGAAUAAUAAUUUUUAAGCAAAAAAUCUACAAUAAUAUUUUUAUUGUUAUUUUUAUUAUUUCUUAAAUAUUAAAUAAAUAUUUUUUAUUUUAAAAUAUCACGUCAAUAAAUUUAAUAGAAAUAUUCUAACAAUAAUUUCCACUCUAAAUCUAAACUUUUAAAUCCAAACAGUAAAAAACCUAAAAUCUUAAAAAUAAUACUUAAAACCUAUUCAACCCGUUUAUAAUUUAUCACAAAAAAUGAGUAGACAAAGCUCCAUUUUAUACAAUUUGGAAGAACACAAAUAACAAAAAAAAAAAAAAAGUUGUUACAAAAAUCUGGAAGAAUAUGCAGAAAAUAAGAUUUAUCCAUUAAUUUAUAAAUGGCACAACACUGACAGCCAUAAAAAGGGGAAUUAUAUAAUAUUAUAUGAAGAAAAGUGGAAAGGGAAUUUGGCACUGCAAUGAUAAGCACAGUCGGUUUUGGGGAUGACAAAGAUAAGGUCUCUUUAUCUUUUCAAUUAUUUAUCACUCAAUACUAUGUAUAGUGGCCAUGCAGAGAUAAGAAGCAGAGCAGGGUAACUUACAAAAGUUGAACACAUGGACGGUCUCAAUAAUCAAAAUUUCAUGAUUCUUCUGCCCAUACCAACCUCUAAUUUUUAAUUUAAUUUAAUUCAAUUCAUGGAAUUUGGAAUAAAAUUUAGAAAAGAAGAAAAAAGAGAUUUGUAUAAGAUGCUCUUUUGGUUGGCAAAACCCAAGCUCAUACCUGUAUUUGUGCUUAUUUUAACUUAUAUUUGAAUUAUUUAUGAGUUUUGGGAAUCUCCAAAAUUGAUCCAACAUUCACUUCAUUUGGGAGAAGAACUAGAACACCAAUAAUACAUUGAUUCCAAAAAUAUGAUUAUUAGGAAUAUAAUAUUACUAUGUUUGCUAUAAUUAGAAAUGUACUAAUUAAAACUAUGAGAAAGUCAUUUCUCAUAUUGAUAUAUUUGGUUUAUUUAGGACUUUACUAGUAACAUGAUGGUAAAUUUUGAAAUUAUAUGCAAAUUUUAAAAUAAAAAUAAAUUAAUAUAUGAUAAUUUUUUAAUUUAAUAUAUAUUUAAUUAUUAUAUAAUUUAAAAUUUAACUUGAUAAAAAAAAAGAGCAACUUUGUCUGGAUGUAACUUUCUAACUAUAUGGAAAAUUACCUUCCCAUUAUUACUUAAAGGAAUCACAUUUUCAUGGUUGGUCACUAGGACAUCAAACUUGGUGAACUCUAUUGGUAAGUGAUGUGAGCAUGGGUACGAAUUUAGGACCAAACGUGAAGGUUUCAUUACUUGGAGAUGUGUUUCACGUACCUACAGGGCCAAUUACAAGGGUAAGGGAUAGAAAGCUUAAGGAGACGCUCAAUGCUCUUAUGUAAGUCAUUUGGGCUGAGUUGGAAUAAUUUUCAUUGCAUUUUCGAGUUAACAUGGAACAUCAGCCUUGCAACAUUUUAUUCGUUGCUCAAUAAGUACUUUUGUUGACCAUACAUCUUCCAUGAAGACCUUUCAUCUCCAAAUUAGAAUUCAAAGAUUCAAGCAUUCAUGGAUGAAUUUAAUAGAGGAAGAAUUAAUGAUUCAAGCAUUCAUUGGUCAGGUUUAAUGGGAGGAAUUCUAAAAGGCUCAUUCAAGCAUCUUAGGUGACCAUUCGAUUAACCAAAGUCCUUGAUAAUUACCACAAUUCAAGAUGGAAGCUGAACAUGACUUUUGGAAAACAAGUGAUUUUUCAGCAACCUUGUGACCUUUGGAGAGAUUCUAUUUUAAUGCAUUUAUGCACAUUAAGUAAUCGUUUAGUAACUCCCAUGCACAGUCAUUUCCACCAUCAGAAAAAGGGGGUUGAAUAUGAAUUUUGAAGUUAUUCUUUGUUUAUUAAGUCUACAUGUAAGGUUGGGAGUUCUGUGACUUUUCGUGUACUACAUGCAUUCAUGCAUAAUUAAGGCUUUAAACUUCAUGGAUGGGUUGACUAUUCAUAUACCUAGAAUAGUCUAUAACUAGUUGCUCAUUUUGUAAUUUGAAGAUUGAUGAAUCAAAAUACAUUUUGUGAGAUUUUCACUUGAGUUUUUAAGAUCAUGCAAACUGAACUUAUCAAGGCUUUUUCCAUGUGGAGUUCCUCUUUCAUUUCUUAUACAUUCGGUUCUUGAUUAUUUAUAAAUAAUGAGUCGGUGUCUGUUCAAAACUAAUUCUUAUUUUCAACGGGUCACGUUCUAAUAACGUUGGUUCUUUUCUCGUACAAGUCAUUGAUUCAAGAUCCCUAUCUUAUUUAUUUAUUUAUCAAGUACCUGUUUAAAAACGGUCAGACAUUCAAGAGACUUGUAAUUGUAAAAUGAUUACGAGCUCACAUCAGUAAGUCUCUCUCCUCUGUUAAUGUUGUACAAAUGUAUGAAUGAGUUGAACGAUGGUCAACCAAUGCAUAAACAAAUUAGUCAAAUAAGGAAAGUAUACCCUAAUGACAUAAGCACAAUCUAGAGCUCGGGAUUUAGGUCUAGAUGUAGCCUCCUUGGUAAUCCUUUGACCACCAUUUAUCUUGCUACUAACUCCAAACUUCUUACCCCUCUGAGUUGUAGAGCUAGGUUUUGCAAACUGAAUAGUAGUGCCCUUGAUCCUCUUUGGACAAUCUUUAUACUAGUUGUCUUGGGACCCACAUCGGAAGCAUGCCCCAAAAACAUUCAAACAAACUCCGAUGUGAUUCUUGUCGUAGUGAUCACAUGAUGGAAUUGAUGCUUUUCCCGAUCCACCAGUAUUAGCUAUCGAAAUAGUUUAUUGGUUUUGUCUACCUUGUUUCUUGCCUCUAUGCCCAUGAGAUCAAGUAGGAGAAAAGAAAUGGUCUCGUGAUUCUCUAUCUCUCUUGGUUGAUAAUGGUGAAAAUGAACAAAGGUGAAGCCAGGGGCUAGCAGUAGCCUUGGCUUCCUUAAAAAUGAAAAAAAAUCAAUUUAGUCCCUUUAAAAUUAUUAAAAUUACAAGUUAACCUAUUGUAAAAUUAUACUUUGACCCCUAAAAAUAUGAAAAAGAAAUUUUUGUUUAGUCUCUUUAAAAGUAAAAGAAUUAUAUAUUAAUAUAUGAUAAAAUUACAUUUUGAUUUUUCAAGUAUUUUAUAAUUUGGUUCGCCCCUAAAAAAAUUUUUAGCUUCACCUCUUGCAAUGAACUCAUAGACAUUCUCUUUCCAUGAUUUUUUUUAUUCACCUUUUUCUUCUUAGCAACCAUUUUCUCCAUUUUCUAAGCUCUUUCAGAUAAUAACAAAAACUCACUUAUCUUAAGAGUCCCUACAAGUAGUUUGAUGUCUUCAUUAAGGCAUCACUUGACCCUUGUACACAUUUCCACCUUAGUUGCCGCAAGCUCAUUUUCAUAAUAACAUAAUUAACUAGAUUAUAGAAGGUAACUCAUUAAGGCCCACUCAAACCUUAUACACAUUUCCUUGAUGUCUCCAUUUUUUAACCUUGUACACAUUAAGGCCCCACUCGAACCUUGUACACAUGUCUUCAGACAAAAGAACUUUCCCUUUCAUACUCAACCACUAUCAUACUGUCUUGCUUCAAAUAAAGAGACUCUCUCUUCUUCUCUUCCAAGUAUAACAGAUUGAUGUACUUCUUCCAGUAUUCAGUUAGAAAAAAGUUCCAGUUCACCCUCUUGAUAAGAGUUACACUUAUCGCUGUAACUUACCAUUGAUUGGCCCUAUUAUUCAAAAGACAUAUGGCACACCACAACUUUUCUUCGGAUGUGCAUUGGAGUUCCUCAAAAACUCUUUAGACAUUCUUUAAUCAAUAUUCUGCCACAAAUAAAUCAUUAAUUUUCUUGCCCCUGAGCUCUUCAACCCCAUACUUUCGAAGCUUAUCUAAAGAAAAAAGACAUGUGAAAAUCAUUCAAGUGCAUGAAUAAACACACAUUCAAGCUCAUAAAUUAUUAUGGCAAAUCAAUAAACCAAUUAGUUAUAGUGCAUGCAUGCACCUCAAAGAUUUAAUCAUUCAACCAUGGCCCCAAGGACAACCAAAAAAUAAUCUUUAAAUUAUAUCCUCUAACAAAAUAGUAAUAACAUCCAACUUCAAUGUCCCCAAUUAAUAUGAAACUAAUAUAUAUAUAUAUAUAUAUACAAUAUGAAAAAACCCCUAAGUACAUGCCAUUAAAAAGCCACUUCUACAUGUACUUAAGUUUCACGCUCUUCAAUGCCUUAGAAUAGUGAUAUGAUCCAAAGAGUUGAGUUGGCUUUACGAUCUCUACUCAAAAUCUAUACACAAGAAUAUAGUGGUGCGUUAUGUAUAAAUGAUUUAGUCAAAACUCAUGGAAAUGAACUCACUUACCUUCUUACCAAGUGUGAGACUUGAGUAAUAGAAGUAACUUAAUUAAUAUAACAUUAAUAAGUGAUACAAUUAGUCAAGCAUACUUAGUCAUAUGCACACACGCACGCAUGCACGCACGCACACGCACACGCACACAUUAGAGUUCUAAUCAUACUGAAAUAUCCCUGGAAUAAUCAGAGUCCAACUAGGAGAAGUAGUCCUGCUUGAUGUAUAAAAUGUGGCUGCCAAAUAGGAGAACAUGCUGUGACAUGGCAUAUCGCCUCAUCACGACAUUGUCUAUGCUUUAUCGUUUCAACAUUGUCGCAUCGUCUCGACGCCCUGAUGCUUCUCGUCGUGAUGUUAGACCUAUUUUGGGCCUUCUUCGAUUGCUUGUCAAAACAUCUUUCAAAGUACCUUCAAAACAUCCGAUAAAUGCAAGGUACACCCAACAAAUCUCCACUUUGACACGUAUUUAUCACGCCUCCUUUUCCAUGCCCUAUCACAGGCCUAACUCGAAUUUGGCAAAAUACCAAACAAGCUCAAGUAGUCUCGAACUUGUAAAUUGAAUGACUCAUAGUCUUCAAAUCAAAGUUGUAUAAUACAACAAGGGCCAAUUAUACUUGAAUAGGAGAAAAAAGCAUCAACUUUCUUCACCUGACUAUAACCUUCUGCGACCAACCUUGCCUCAAACAUUCAGUGAACCAUUCAAGUCCAAAAGACCAAAAAGAGGUUAGAUUCUUCUCUAAAUCAGGAACAUGCCUGACAUCUGACACAACUCCACCUUCAACCAGAUUAUAUGGAGAGCAACGAAUCAUUACCCUUGUCCUCAGUCAUAUUAGCUAUCUCCGUAAUUAUCCGGAACUGCCAGAAACUAAAAUUUGUGAUCUGUCAAACUUCUCGAUAUCCAAAAUCAUUGUUGCGUCACCGAACGAGUCGAUCUGCAGAAGUUAAACCUUGUUUUGAUACCAAUUUGUUGGGGAUCGACCUGUAUAAACAACGAGCUAGUAAAUGUAGAGAAGAUCAAACACAUAUAUUUUACAUGCAAAACCCUCCGAAGAGGAUAAAAAAACCACGAGUAAAGGAGGCUUCGACUUUUUACUAAAUUAGUAAACAAACGAGAGUAUAAUAUAGAGAAAAUAAACCUAAAAGUAUUAAAUGUACAAUCCCAAACCUCAAAAACAAAGUCCUAAUUCAGGAACAAAUUUCUCUCCAUAGUUACCAUGGAACUCUCACCAAAACUCAUAUAUGACUACAUCUUGUCGCCCUCAAGAAAAACCCUUGCUGAUUGGUAUCUCAAAACAUGGAUACAAUGACCCUUUUAAAUAUACUAAUAUUAGAGUUCUAAUCAUACUAAAAUAUCCAUAGAAUAAUCAGAGUCCAACUAGGAGAAGCAGUCUUGCUUGAAGUCUAAAAUGCGACUGCCAAAUAAGAGAAAACAUUGUGAUGUGGCAUAUUGCCUCGUCACGACACUGUCUCUGCUUUGUCGUUUCAACGUUGUCACGCCGUCCCGACGUCCCAGUGCUCCUCGUCGUGACGUUAAGUCUAUUUUGCGCCUUCUUUGAUUGCUCAUCAAAACAUCUUUCUAAGUGCCUGCAAAACAUCUGAUAAAUGCGAGGCACAUCCCAUAGUUUCUUAUAGGCUUUCACUACAAGUAAGAGGAAAAUCCACUUUGUUAACUAGGAUACUAUGUGUAAGCUGAAGGAGAUAUGGGAUUUAGAUCCAUGUGUGACUAGAAUUUAAUUCUUUGUGCAAAACUUGGAUGGAGAUUAUUGACUAAAAAAGAUAAAUUAUGGGCAAGUAUUAUAUGGUAAAUACCUUAACAAUACCAACUUACUCGAUGCUCCAAGAAAUGGUGGUAGUGAACAUGGUUAGAGAAGUAUCCUUGCAGGCAAAUAUAUCCUUGAUAAAGGGUUAUGUUGGAGGGUGGGCGAUGUAAGUCUAAUUAGAUUACAAACUAACAACUGGAUGUCUGAUAGAAAUAUAGUUCAUAAAUGCAUCCAAAAUCCUUCACAGGAGUAGUUGCAAUUGUUCAUUAAGGAGUAUAGGGAGCAGGAGGUUGAAACUAUUAGGCUUUAUCACCUUUUUUCUAGAGGAAAUUAUCGGAAAAAAGAACAUGGUAUUUCCUUUCUUGAUGAAUUACUGUGCUAAUGAUGAAUUUAUUUUGGGGGAAACUUCUAAUGGCAUCUUUUUAAUUAAGUCAGCUUAUGAGAUUCAAGUGAAUAGAAAAAGAUUUGCUUAGCUUGAUGGCAAAGCUAAUAUGGAAAGUUCUUUAACAUUCGAAGAUCCAAACUUCUCUUUGGUUAACUUAGAAAAGUAGAAUUACGAGUAAUUCAAAUAGAAAGAUAAGGUAACUUAUCAUGAUUGAUUCGUGGGAAAAUAUUGUGUGAUCUAUUUUUUCCUUAAAUUAUGGAACAUUAACUAUGCUUAAUUUGAGUAGUAUUGAUGGCAUAGAUUGAAGUACAUAAUUUUUAUAUACUUAGGUUGAAGUUUCAUCAUGCACAAUUGUUAUGUGUGGAUCUUCAAUUCCACUAUAUACUUUGCUAUGUGUUCAUUUUAGUUUAAUAUGUUUAUAUUUUUUAUUGAUUUUGAUUAUGUGCUUAAGUAUGAAUUAUUAUGGAUAUAUUUAUAAACUCUAAAAUAACUAUACCCAAUUUAGUCUAUAAAAAAAAACAAAGCUGAAAUUGGGAAAUAAAAAUACAAGAUAAAUUUCAUUUUGAGGAUGGUACAACUUUUGCUUUAUUACCUUAUUUUUGUUUGAUUAGUUGUCUUUAUUUUGGGCAUAAUUUCUUUGCUUUUCUUUUUCUUUUUUUCAAAUUUAUAAACCCAAUAAUUGUGGGAUCAAUCAUAAAAAUUCACCAUGGAUCUCAAUUCAAUUCACUGUAAGUAAAAAUCCAAUUAUUAAUUAAUAAAAAGAAACCUAUUCACUUUAACAUAAUUCACUCCAAUUAUUAAAAAAAAAACGAAUAGACCAAAAUGGCAUGACAAUAUACAAUAAUUUUUUGGAUGAUGAGUAAAACAAUCGGAAACGUUAAAUUAAUGGUGAAAAUUAUUUUUUAUGGACAAAUUAUAAAAAAGUUAUUCAAUUAUACCUUUCGUUUUAUUUUGGCCACCUAAUUAUUAAUUUUUUCGAUUUAAUCACUAAAUUUUUCGAAAUUAAAUAUUUUAAUUACUUUGAGCUGAUGUGGGCUUUUCUUUAUUAGUCUAGUAACAAAUUUAACCCUCUAAUGUUUACAUAUUCUAUCAAAUUGAUCCUAAAUAUGAAAACUUCAAUAAAUUUAGUCCUCAAUGUUUACAAAUUUUGUCAUUUUAGUUGUAAUUCUAAAAAAAUUCAAUAAAUUUGGCCCUUAGUAUUUACAAAACUUUUCGAUUUAGUCCUAACUCUAAAAUUUUAAAAAUAUAUAUAUUUAAAAAUGUUUUCAUUUUUAGCCCUUUAUAACCCAACUCACCCAUGUGAGAUAUUAAAAUAAGAAAAGAAAAACCCCUUUUUCAAGUCACUUGCAACAAUUUCUUAUAUUAUAAUUUAGGCUUCACAUUGGACUAUCUAGAAUAACUGGUUGCAUUACUACUCAAAUAGGUAACGUUUUUAAUGCCAUUGUUUUUUUGUCGGAUCUUAAAUUUUUGCGUUUUGUCCCAACUUUUUAGAGUUAUUUUGCAAGUGACUUGAAAGAGGGUACUCUUUUUCUUAUUUUAAUAUCUCACAUGGGUUAGUCAAUAGGUUAUAAAAGGCUAAAAAUGAUUUUUUUUAAAUGUCUUUUAAUUUUUAGAGUUAGGACUAAAUUGACAGGUUUUGUAAAUGUUAAUGGCCAAAAUUAUUGAAUUUUUAAAAAAUUAGAACUAAAAUGAUAAAUUUUGUAAACGUUGAGGGUUAAAUUUGUUGAAUUUUUAUAUUCAAGAUCAAAUUGAUAGAAUUUGUAAAUAUUAGAAGGCUAAAUUUAUUAUUAAACUAAUAAAAAAGAGCUCACAUCGGCCUAAUGUAACUAAAAUAUUUAAUUUCGAAAAGUUUAAUGACUAAAUCAAAAAAAUUAAUAGUUAGUGACCAUUUUUAUAGUUUACUCAUAAAAAAUUAAUUUUCCGUAUGGAUUUGACAUUCCAAGUCUAUUUAACAGAUAAAUUUUAACAGAAUGACUAAUUUACACGUUUCGAAAUGUAUAAAGAUUAAUUACUCAAUUUUUCGGUAAAAGGGCCGAAAUACAAUCCAGACCUAAAUACAAGAACUACCCUAGUACUUUCACUCACCAUCCCAACAAUUAUUCAGAAAGAGGUGAAGGAAUCAUGGCGUAUGAAUAAGAAGAAUAAAACAACAUGAGGAAUAGUUAAAAACUUUAGAAAAAUGUAGAAAUUGCUGCUGUUGGGAGGAGAAUAGGGAUGGGAGUGAAUCAUGUGUUCCUAAUCUAUGUAAAAUUUGAGUUUAUUUAUUAUUAUUCAUAUUACAUUAAAUUAAAAAUACAAAAGAUUCAUAUAAUGAAUAUUUGAAUAUCACAAAUGUCUGAAUUGACCUUAUCUAUCGUCAUUCUUAGCUGAGUAGGAAGAAAUAUGAUCUUGAAUGAAAAAAUGUUACUUAUUUGACCAUCGGAGCCAACGCAAUUUCCGAGAGUCAUUUCCAAAAACAGGAAAAGUUUUUGACAAUGGAGGGGUGAUGAUGAGUCAGCAAUGGAAGUGGAUAAAGCCCCGUUAGUGAUGGGACGAAACCAAGUAAGAACACGUGGCCUGAUGGGAGAGGUGGGCCCGAGGAAGCGACGAAACAUCGCCGUUUGAAAGGUGCCCCAGACAUUUUGCAUCUAUAAAUAGGUUGUGAUGGAUAUUUGAAAACACAACAACGUGUUUGCCUUCCCCCUUUUACACUCCCCCACUCUUUCUUCUCUUCUCUUUACUUCCCCCUUCACAUAUAUCUUCCUCUUUCUUUUUCUUCAAAUACUGCCCUCUAAUUUUCUCUACUUCUUGUUAAAAAGAAAGGUGUUUUGGGAGUGUUUAAUUAUUGAAACAAAAUGUGUGGGAUUUUAGCUGUUUUGGGUUGUUCUGAUGAUUCUCAGGCAAAAAGGGUUCGAGUGCUGGAACUUUCCCGCAGGCAAUUCAUCUUUCUUUUUUCUUUUUUGCUAAUUUUGAUGUUUGUGUCUUUAAAAUGGUUGCAUAACAUUUCUCCAAUAGGUUUAGACAAUGACAAAGUGUUUUUAUGGUUUGUUGCUGUCGAAGAUCAGCGAAAAAAAAAGACAGGGUUACGGUGAAAUUUAACAACCUUAAAACUUGGUCUUGAAGCAGAGAUACUCUGCAACUUGAAAACGGUAUAAAGGGACAUAAGCAAAAAAAAGUGGCAGAGUCCAUGUUUCAAGAUGCUAGUUCAAGCAGCUCAUGAACAUAAAAGACUAAUAAAUUGAAUUGAAUUUAUUGGUUAAUGAGUUAGUGAUUGUCCACGUUGAUGAUGGUUUACCAACAGGCUCAAGCACCGUGGUCCUGACUGGAGUGGCCUCUACCAACAUGGAGACUGUUAUUUGGCCCAUCAACGCCUCGCCAUCAUUGAUCCUGCUUCUGGUGACCAACCUCUCUUUAAUGAAGACAAGUCUGUUGUUGUCACUGUAAGUCUCUCUCUCUUUGCUUCUUUUUAUUUAAUAUUUCUCCAGUUCCACCCUAUGGCCACUCAUUUAACUUUCUCAACACUUGAGGACUGCCUAAUUGGUCAAUUCUGUGCUGAAAACUAGGUGAAUGGAGAGAUUUACAACCAUGAAGAACUGAGGAAAAAGUUGGCCAACCACAAGUUCAGGACUGGCAGUGACUGUGAUGUUAUUGCCCAUCUGGUGAGUCUCCAUGGAUAGAGCUAAUUUUUUUGGUCUGAAGUUUCUAUUUUGUUUUGUGAAUGAUUGCCUAAUAAGUACUUGACCUAUAUGAUAGUAUGAGGAGUAUGGUGAAGACUUUGUGGAUAUGUUGGAUGGAAUCUUCUCAUUUGUGCUGCUGGAUACCCGUGACAACAGCUUCAUCGUUGCACGCGAUGCUAUCGGUGUCACCUCCCUCUAUAUUGGCUGGGGACUUGAUGGUAUUAAAUCUAGGUUUUUUUUUUCUCAGUUGCAAGUAAUUUGGGUUGAAACUGGUUUUUGCUAAUUUAAUUUCUACGUCUUAUAACCAGGUUCGGUUUGGAUAUCGUCGGAAUUGAAAGGGUUGAAUGAUGACUGUGAACACUUUGAAAGCUUUCCCCCUGGUCACUUGUACUCUAGCAAAUCAGGAGGAUUUAGAAGGUGGUACAAUCCACCUUGGUUCUCUGAGGCCAUUCCAUCGGUUCCAUAUGAUCCCCUAGUACUUAGACGUGCAUUUGAAAAUGUAAAACUGAUUACUUGCCGCCCAAGAAGCACUUUAUGCUUUUGGACUAAAGAAAUAAAUAUAUUUUUUCUGUAGUUUUGGCUUACGGGUUGUAUCAAAUAUGUUUACAGGCGGUGACCAAAAGACUGAUGACUGAUGUGCCUUUCGGAGUUUUGCUAUCUGGAGGACUUGAUUCAUCAUUGGUUGCUUCUAUCACUGCUCGGUAUUUAGCUGGUACCAAGGCUGCCAAACAUUGGGGAGCUCAGCUCCAUUCUUUCUGCGUUGGCCUAGAGGUAAGUUGUAAAGUAUAGGAUGAACCCUUAAAGCUCUAGAGGAUUUGAAUGAUUCUUAAAACUUGAUUGUCAAUUUCUCUGCAGGGUUCACCAGAUUUGAAGGCAGCAAGGGAGGUUGCAGACUAUCUGGGAACGGUCCAUCAUGAAUUUCAUUUCACUGUUCAAGUAUUGACUCGACAUUUUUGUAGCAGUUUCUAUUCAAGAAUUUAGGGUUUAAUAAACCUGUAACAAGCUAGACUGCUCUCUAAUGUGGCAGGACGGAAUCGAUGCCAUUGAAGAUGUCAUCUACCACAUCGAAACAUAUGAUGUCACCACGAUCAGGGCAAGCACUCCUAUGUUCCUGAUGUCAAGAAAGAUCAAGUCACUAGGUGUGAAGAUGGUUAUUUCUGGUGAAGGCUCCGAUGAGAUAUUUGGUGGAUACCUGUACUUCCACAAGGCACCAAAUAAGGAUGAAUUCCACCGGGAGACAUGCCGCAAG
rnacentral:lncRNA from 1 species